AGAAAUGAUGAACAAAAACAGAUAUGAUUAGGUGAUAAAACAUUAAAUAUUUGAAGAAUAAAAGAAAGAAAAAGGAACUUACAGGCUUAGAAAGUAAGCUUCUUAUUGUGUUUAUGCUUUUAUAGAAAUGUCUUAAUUAUGAAUCAAUUCUUCCAUUAUGUUUUUCUUAUUCUUUAUUUAUUUUUACAAUUAUUAUUAAAAACUACGGUUCUAAGUUGUUAUUAUGUCCUUCAUUUCUAUUAUUUUACUUCUUUAUCAACUUGUGGCCACCUUCAUGCAACAAAAUCUAUUCCCCUAAUUUUUUUAUUUCUUCUUCUUCUUCUUUUUUUUAUUUCUAAAUAUGUUGACUUUUCAUUUCUUUAUUUCACUAUAUAUUAAUUUCUUUAUUUUAACUUUUUUUUUUCAAAUAUAACAAAAUAAACCUAAACUUUUUCACAAUAUAACAAAGAAAGUAUAAAUUAUUUUAAUUAGUUAGAAUUUAUUUUAGGAGAAUUUUCACAAUAUAACAGAAAAGUAUAAAUUAUUUUAAUUAGUUAGAAUUUAUUUUAGGAGAAUUUUCAAAAUUAGUAGAUUUUAUAAAAUAUUCAAAUUCUAUCCUUUAGUGAUAGAAGACUAUCUAUCCAUAGUUUUGCUAUUAGAGAAAAAUUUUAGGAGCAUAUUUAAAAUAGCAAAAUAGCAAAUUGCUAUAGCAUAUCAACCACUAUCAAUAAUAAAAUUUGGUAUCGGUUAAAAAUAUUUUGUAAAAUCUCUAUUUUUAAAAAUUCUCAAGAGUUGAAUUUAAGUGAAAUAAUAUUGAGUUAUCCGAAAAGAAAGGUAGUUUUUGUGAUUAAUAUUACCUUCUAAAAAAAGAAGAAGAAAAAAAUGGUGUGGAAGAUUCUAUGAUUUUUCUUUAUUAUUAUAUAUGAAUUUAGAUGAGAACUACUUUUUCUUUCAUUGGUAAUUAUUCUUUACAGUUGGUUUUGUUUUUUGUUUUUUUGAAAGUAGAGUAGCUUUUGGGAUUUAGUAUCCCAAAGGAGUAAGAAAUAUAUUUUUCUGCUUGGCUUGGGAUUUUGAAUUUAAUUUCAAAUAUAUUAAAAAUGAGUCAAUUUUGUUAAAUUUUUUAUUAAAUUUAAAAGUAAUUUAAAAUAAUAAUAAAAAGAAAGAGGGGUCAUAAAUAAAAUAUACCUGAAUUUCAAUAAGGACAAUUGCAAAAGAAUAAGCAAAAGCAAUAUCUCCAAGUGCUUGAAAACUUCUCAAUUUCUUUUCGGUUUUACUUAUCGAUCCCACACUUACUCCACUAAUUGUUCCUUUAAAUCUCCCACUUUCUGCAUCAAAUUAAACCAACAAUAAUCAUUAACAUAAAUAAAGAUAUAUAUAUAUAUAUCUAUUAUUCUUUUUUUUUAACUUAACUGCUGUAUUUAUUUAUACUCAUUAACUAAAUGAUACUUUGAUUCUAUGCUUUUUGUUUUUAAAAAAGUAAUAGUAGUUUAUCCAAUCACUUUCAUGCCCUAAAUUCUACUCUAGAAUCCGUGUAGUAAAACAGAAAUGGAAAAGCAUUUUGAGAGUCUGUGUAUCUCUCAUCUACUUGAAACAUUUUUAUUUUUCAAACAAAAAUUAAUUUCUUUAUUCACAUCUUCCACUACAAUCAAAAUUGAUUCUACUAAGUGAUAGAAAUGUAUGUUUUUUUCUUUUUUGAAAAUCUUUUUAAGAUUCCACCUCCAUGAAUCCUUCUAAACUCUUCUUUGUUUUAAUAAUAAACUUGUGGAGUUUGUUUCUUCUUCCAAAGCUUUUAAGUUAACCCUAAAUUUUAAAUUAGGCUUCUUUUUAUUUUUUAUUUUUUAAUUAAGAUUCGGAAAAAAACUUUUGAUUGUAGAAAAUAAAUCAAAUAAGUUACACCAAAUAAUAUUCUUUUAAGAAAAGUGAUUUUCACCGUCUUUUUAAUAAAAAAAAACAUUUAUUUAAAAAAGUUAUUCCAAAUAUGCUUAUUAAGAAUAUUUUUUAUGAUAUCAUGAAUUAAAAAUUUACAAAUGUUUUGUAGUUUGGAUUAAUCAAUCCAAAGGAAAACAUAUUUUCAGUUAGGGAUCCAAAUUUAGUAACGUUUACGAAAAUGGAGUUAAAUCAAUAAUGAAAUAUAUAUGUUUGUGUAGUUAAAUAAAAAGAAUAUGAGAAGAGAAAAAGUGAACCUGCCACUUUGGCUAUUCCAAGGGAAAGGCCAAUGAAAGAAUAAGUAAAAGACAUGAUAGCAGCGAGUGUAGAGAGCCACCAAAUCUGAUCAAAAUUUGGAAUUUGAGAUAGAAUUAUUUCCACAACUCCAAAAGACAUCAUGAAUGGGUUGCUUGAAAUAUGACAUGGAUUUUUUCCACCACUACUAUGAAAGCAAUUUGACCUUUUAAUUGCCCUGCCAAUUAAAUUAACAAUAUCACUUUCUUAUCUAUAAUUUUAUUUCCAUAAAUAUCACUUUUAUCAUUAUUCAUCUUGUUAGGCAUUCUUAAAUAUCUAAGACAAGUUUUUUAAAAAAUAAUAAUCUAACAACUCAUUUUUGUUUUUAGAAUAUGACUAUGAGAAAUUGUUUAAUUUUCUAUAUAUUUACGUAAAAAAAAUGAAAAUCAUGAAACAAACACACACACACACACAUAUAUAUAUUUUUAUAAUGAUUUUCAGAUUUGAAAAUUGGAAAACAAAUACAAAAGUCCUGUAGAUGGAAAGUAAAUAUUAAAAUAAAUAAAUUUAUGUGUGGAAAUCACGUGUCUAUGAGCUUAGUCAUAAAAACACAAAUGGUUAUCAAAGAAGCAUUAUGUGUUAGCUUUUAAAACUUGGUUUUUCAAAAGUUAAAUGUUUAUAGAAGAAGAUUUUCGUCUUAAAUUAUAGUUUGGAAAUGUUUUGAAUGUUGAGCUUACAUCAUACUGAUUGAGGACGCAAUCUGAUAUCCAAUUGUUAUUCCCAUCAAGUUUAUGUUCUGCAUUACUCCACAUGCCACCAUAUGAGCUUCACCUAAUUUUAAUGAAAUUAAUAUGUCAAUAAAUAUAUAUGAUUUAAGAAAACAUUGGUUACUAAAGAAAAACAAGAAUAUUUCAUACCAAGGAGGGAGCGAACGGCAUGCAUGUAAGUAGGGUUUCUCUUUCCAGUAAGAGGAUCACCGGAGCGAUAGCAGUCGGCAAGCAAGCAUGAGGUGUAGUGACCGAUGAAGGCGAACAACAACAUGACGGAGGGACCGACAAUCCACCCUAGCUGAGCAAUCGCCCAUGCUAACGAUAACACACCCGAACCAAUAACCGUAGUGAUUAUGUGAGCACUUGCCGUCCAAAGCGUACCUGAUUAAUUAAAACAUAUCAUAACAUAAACAACACGGAGAUGUAUUAUAUUAUGUGAAUUAAGAGAGAUAUUGAUUAUAAUUAAUUAUAUAUAUGAAAAUAUGUAAAUACGUAGGUGAAGUGAUGAGGUACCGGUUCGUUUUGGGUGUCCAUCAUCGUCGAAGCUAGAAGAGUCGUUGAGGGGAAGCACAGCCAUGGGGGUGGCGUGGAGUCAAUGGAUAGGGGAGAUAUGGGGAAAGGUUAUGGAAGGUAGCUGUUUAUAUAAGAGUUUCAAAAGAGGAAAUAAUAAAGAAAAUAAAUAAUAAUAAUAAUAAUAAUAAAAUAAUGCGUUUUGAGAAGGACCCCAGUUUUAAGAAAUUUUCUAUUAUUUCAAUUAUUACCCUCAAAAUUUGCAAGUGAGAGUGGAACCUCAAUGGGUUGCAAAAAAACUGUCGUCCCACUUACCCACUACUGUAUUAUCAUAAUUGAUGAUGGUUAAUUAAAAUCAAAAACCCUCAACUAAUAAUUUUAUUGUAUUAAUCUACACUUUAUUCUUUGAAGAUUGUAUCAUUUACACUUUAUACUUUAUUCUUCAGAAGAUUGUAUCAUUUAUAUUCAUUCCAACUCAUGAUGGUAUUAGUUUAAACUUGUAAGCUUUUAUAUAUAAGUACAUAUAUCAACCUAAAAACUACAAUUUUUUUUUACAGGUGUUUAUCAAUUAUUAAAGACCUGAACUUUCAUAAUUUUAAUUUGGGAGGAAAGUCAAGAUUGAUGAGUUAUUUAUGAAUGAAUAAGAAAGAAAAUUAGUUUAGAAAAUUCUUAACUAAUUUGAGAUUGUAGAAAUACCUCUUUAGAUAUUCGUCUUAGAGAACAUGUGCACGUAGGGAUAUAGUUGAAAAAGAAGGGGGGUUUAUGCAUGUUAAUCUUUUGCUCGAUAUCUUCUUCUGAUCUACAUGAUUGCUGUCAAUUUAAAUAGACAUUGAAGCUUGAUUCCAAUCUUCCGUUGAUCUCUGGGUUUUGCAUGUGAUCCAAUUUGGAUAUAAAUAAGGUCAAAGUGUGAGAUGUGUUUUGUCUAACUCAUCACUCAUACCAAAGCAUUCUAAAAGAAGGUGAAGGACAUCUGUCCUUUCUUUUGACAACUCAAACAUAUACACAAACACAUUUCAAUUUGCCACACCAAAAAAAGAAAAAAAAAAAGAAAAAUCUUUUUUAUUCUACAUUUUCCUUUUACUUUAUAUUUGCUACCGUUGAAGAUCAAAUUUACACUUUUUAAUUCAAUUUUUUUAUUAAAUACUAAUUUUAAGUUAUUAUUAUUAGUAUUAAUAGAGGUGAAUUUAGAUAAAUAAAAGAAUAUUGAAACUAUUUACAUUCUACACCAAACAAAAAAAAAAUGGAGAAAAUAUAUUAAUUUUCUUUUAUUCCAAAAAUAUUCUUGAUGUUUUACUCAAAUAUUUGCCCUCCAUGACAUAUUCUUCUAAUUUAUUUAUCCAUGGUUUUUAUUCUGAUCUUUGUUUGUUUUUUCAAUAAUCGUGUUCAUCCUUUUCUUCUUAUCAGCCUCUUCGUCUACCUCAAAUUUAGGGCUUCAUAGCCAAUGUUUCCACGUCCAUCAUCGGCGACACUUUCUAUUUUGAUAAUCUUUUUUUUCCUUUUCUUCAUCUUAUUCUUCUAUAUUCUUGAAUCACUUUUAAUUAUAAUUUUGUUUCUAUUUAAAAUCAAAUUUCAACCAAACUUCAUCACAAUGUGAAAUUAAUAAGAAGACAUGAAAAUAGAAUUCUUGAAAACGAUAAAGUGAUACUUACUUGCAAGAUUAAUAGUAAUUAAUUCAAAUCGAAUAAAAAGAAUAUUAUACUCAAUUAAAUCUUACAUAAUUCAAUCAAAAUUGUUUGUUAGUGUAACUCUUGAAAAUAAUCAUAAAUUAGCAUACAUUACUAGCAUAUCCACAAAAUUUCUUUUGCUAACAUUCCUUUUUUCUGUUCCUUCUCUUUCUUCUUUCGUUCACAUCCACAAAAUUGAGUCUUAUAGUUUGAUACAAAAUUUUUCGGAGAAACUGAAGGAAAUGAAACCAGGAAUUAUUGCAAAUGAAGUAUUUUUAUAUAAAUUUUCUAUCAUUGUCACAUAAUCAUCUAUCAUUGUAUACCAGUGAUAGUUAUCCAUCACUGUCUAUCUCUGAUAGAAAGUAAUAGAUAACUAUCAUUGUCUAUGUACCAAGAUAAAUAAUUUGCAUAUAUUUUUGUAUAGGAACACACUGCUUUUGAGCGGAAUGAAAAUGGAAAUUUCAAGUUUUGUUUCAUGGCUAUUGGUUCAUCUAUUAAAGGUUGGAGGUACAGUAGAACUAACAUACCAGUUGAUGACACAUUUCUGAAAUGCAAGUUUGGUGGUACUUUAUUAGCAACCUCAAUAGUAGAUGGUAACAAUAAUAUCUUUCAUCUUGCAUUUGCUAUUGUUGACUUAGAAAAUGAUGCAUCCUAGAAAUGGUUUUUAGAAAAUUUGCAUACUUAUUUGGGGGAUCGUGAUCAUUUAGUCAUUAUCUCCGAUAGACAUUUGAGCAUUCCAAAGAGUUUUUUAAGUGUAUUUAUGAAUGUUGAGUUUUGUGUUUCCAUGCAACAUGUUUUCAAAAAUUUGAAGAAGUGUUUCAGAGAUUCUUUUAUCAAUCAAUUUUACUUUAGUUGUGCUAAAUCUUAUACUUUUGAUGACUUUGAGUUCAACAUGAGAUCUAUGGAGUCUAUUUAUACAGACAUACGAAGUUAUCUUAGUAAUGUUGGAUUUGAGAGGUGGUCUCGAGCAUAUUCACGAAGAAGAAGGUACAAUAUGAUGACAACAAAUCCUUCAGAAAGUGUUAACUCGGUUUUGAAAGAGGAUAGAAAUUUGGUUGUUGCAAGUUUACUUGAUGGAAUUAGAGAGUUCUUGCAAAAGUGGUUUCAUGAUCGAAGAGAAGCUAGUUUGUCAAUGAAAACAAUUUUAACCUCUUGGGCUGAAAGUAUAUUACGUAAGCAACAUGAAGAAUCAAGAAGUUUCUGGGUAAGAGUUCUUUUAUUUUUUUUAUUCUUUUCAUUUAGAUAUAUUAUAUCGAUAGAAGAAAGAAAGUCAGCGAUAGAAGUUUGUCACUGUAUAUCAGUGAUAGAACUAUGAAUGUUUAUUUGUAAAUGUUGAUUUUUUUUCUAUUUUUAUUUUGUAGGUUCAUCCUAUCAACAAUAUUGAAUACAAUGUAAUGGUCGGUGAUAAACAAUUGAUAGUGAAGUUGAACUUGGGAUCUUGUAGCUGUCGAGUAUGGGAUUUUCAUGAGAUUCCUUGUUCUCAUGCUCUUGUUGUUCUUUGGAUGCUUAACCUAAAUAGUUAUUCUUAUGUGUCUGAUUAUUAUCAUUCACAGACAUUGUUGUCAACAUAUCUAGGACAUGUGCUACCAAUUGGAGUUCAUUCAAAUUGGAGGCUUGUAAACGACGACAUUGGAGCUUUACCUCCUAUUUUUAAACGUUCAGUUGGAAGACCUAAAAAUUUAAGAGUUCCAUCAAUUGGUGAAGUUAAUAGUAGCUCAACAAGAUGUAGUAGUUGUCAUGGCAAGGGUCAUAAUUCUAGAACUUGUAAACUUCGUCAAAUUAAUCAAUGAUGUAAUCAUUAUAGUUGUAUUUUUAUGUUGGAUCACCAAAUGGAUUUAUAUUGGAAUUUAUGAGUGUUAUUUUUUCAAAUUCUUUAUAUGAAUAAACAUUGUCGAUGUCUUUGUUUGUAUUCAACUUUGAAUUGAAACAUGUGGUGUAUAAACUCAUGGAAACUCUAUGUAUAUAUUUUCAAAUUAAAUCCUAUAAAAUUGAAUCGACAUUGAUACCAGUUUCUAUCAUUGAUAAGAAUGCAUUAUCUAAUAAGAACUGAUAAUUUUCUAUUAGUGAUAAAACUGAGAGAAACUAUUAAAAAUAAACUCUAUGUAUCAAUUCUUCUAUUUUUAUUUAAGAAGGGGGCUAAUACAGAGAAAAAAUUAUUUAACACGUGUUGGUUACUUCUUUAAAGCAUACAUUUAAGUUAAGAAUCUUGGGUGAGUUAGAUAAAUUAGAUGGUUGGUGAGUGUUGUCUAAGUAUGACGAUGCUUGUCUAGGUAUUGAACAUUUGUAAGGUUUAAGCUAAGCAUGGGUAAGAGAAAUGUUGAGCUUACAUGUGUGUAACAAUUUAAGAAGGAGCUAGCAAGCUUAAGGGAAAUUAUAGAUGACUAAUCCAAUUUUGGACUAGUAUAAAUAGGGAUGGAAGGUUAAAGAAAGGAACGUUAUGCUAAAUUCUUGAGAAUACUCUAGUGUAAAAAAGAAUCACAAGGUGAGAAGAAGGUCUUUGGGGAAGUAGGCAUUUUGAAGAAAGGAAUUUAGUCAGUGAGUGAUUUUCCAAUGUAGUAGUUUCCUUAAGGAAUGAAUCCUAGUCUUGAAUAAGGGGUCACACCUUCUCACUGACUAGAGAUCAGCUGAGAUUAAGUUUAUAGGUUGAACCUUAAACCAAUUGUUCAAUAGUUGAUUAGUGAAAAUAAAGGAGCAAGAUGUAACCUCGGGGGUAAAAUGGUAUUUUGACCCAGUCGAGGUUACAGAAAACUUGUGAUAGAUUAACUUAUUGAUUAUGGUUAUUUCAGAUGGACACAAAUAUAUCUAUAGUGAGGAGAGUGCAACUACAAGAAUUUAAUGGAAAAACCUAUUAGCUAACUAAUGUUGAUUAUCGCGAUCUAAAAGGAUUUAGCCAGUUAAUCUCAAAUCGUUGAAACCCAUGAUCUAUAGGUCCAUUAGAUUUCCCUGCUGGCUCAUAUGAAAUUUAACUUAGAACAAUAUGUUGGAAUAAUUUGAAUUGUUUGAAUUAGGUAAAUAUUGAGAAACCGACAAAUGUAUAUGAUAUAAUCGUCGGCUAUAAGUUUAAGAUAGAGCUUUAUGUUUAAAUUUGAUUUAAAUAUUACACAUAAAUAGGCUUUAUGUAUUUUUUGCAUGUAACUUGGUUAUAAAUAGGGUUUUUUUUUUUUUUUUUUUGCCAAAAUUAGUACUUUUGAAUUGCAAAAUAUUAACCUAUUUUUCUCUCUAAAGAUCUUAACCCUAAAAUUCCACCUCCAAUUUCCUUCACCUAUCGAGUCUCACAAUUUGGUGAAUUAACACUAGUGGUGGUGCCUAGUUCGAGUUCGUGAGAAGAUUACGAGGAACGAGAAGCUUCGAAGAUAUCUGUUUUCUUUUAACCCUAAUUUCAUUAAUUAGGGUAUUUAUGCAUGUUAAUUACUAAAUAGUUUAGUUGCAAUUAGGGUAAAUAGAUCUUUUUUUUUUUUGCUGUACAUGUUUAUUACUCCAUCAUUUUUAAGUCAAACAAAAAGGGAAGAAUGAGUUCAUUUAGCAUGUACACGCUAGUAUUUCAAUUCAUUAUCUAUUAUAGUUUGGUUGGGGUUGAUAUGAUCUUGUUUGGUUUAUGUUUUCAUGCUUUUCUUGGUUUAGAUUGCCUUUAAAAAAAUAGCAAAAGGGGGAGAUUGUUAGGAUUUUUUAAAAGUAUUUAGCUUAUUUAUUACAUGCAAAAUUUUAAUUUCGUGUUUAAGUAAAAUGUUAUGUGACGUACUAAUUUUGUCAUGAAGUUGAUCGUUUUGAUGUUGAUUUAUGAAAUGAAUCUUUGCUGGUGUGCUUUUUUGUCUUCUACAAAAUGUCAUAAAACAAGUUGUGACGCUGUUACUAUUGAGUUUUAUGUCCUAAAACUCGUAGAUAGUAAAUAUAAUUCAUUGAUCCUUAUUAAUAGUGUUUUAUUUCAACAAAUGUUAUUGAUUAUAUUAUUAGUUUUGUCUUAAUAACCUAAAUCAAAUAAACUAACAUUCUAAGUUGUUUGAUGAGUUUUGAACAGUAUGUAGAGACAUAAAGGGAUCAAUGUUCGAGAUCAGGUCUAUAAUAUAGGGAUAAGGUUGGGUACCUUAUUAUGGUAACAUUAUGGAUACGACUCAUUUUGUAUUUACUACAAACGCAAUGAUCCAACAUGUUCAUGUAAGUGACAUGCGAGUGAAUGUAUUCUAUGCAAUGAGUUUCAUAAGACCAAACCACAAAAUACUAACCACUAGAUGUAACUCCAUUAACUAGUUAAGUUUCUAUUUCAUUAGGUAACUUAGUCUUAAUCCUGAGUGUAUUAUGAAGUUCUGUUUGCGAGAGAUUAUCCUUUAAUUUGUACGGAUGAAAGUGACCAUAUUGCCUACUCAAUAUGCUUAGCAUUUUAAGGAGAAGACCGAGUGGGGAGUUGGAAACAUAAUCACACAAGAUGAAAUUCACUUAUUUCCAACUUUAUGAUAACUAGACGAGUGUUCCCUUAAAUGGUGUCUCCGGGACUUGAACAAAGAUCCCUACUUUCUCUAUGGCGCGAGGGGGUUUCUAUUUAGUGGUUGGACCAUAAACAUAUUGUUCAUUAGAGGAGCACUGCUAUUUAAGGACUAAAAGUAACCUAGGGGUAAAACGAUAAUUUGACCCAACUGGUGUUAUGAACACUUGUGAAUGAAUAACUGACUGUUAUUGGUCUAUAUCCUUGACACAGAAAUAUAUCUACAUCGAGAAGAUCAGUUCAGCUGUGAGUCUUUAGUGAAGUGUGCACACAGUUAACGAAUAUUGAUUAAUGUGGUUAAUGAGUUUAGCCAAUUAAUCUCAUAUCAUUGUAGUUUCUGAUAUGUAGGUUCAUUAAGUCCCUUUCCUAGCUCGUAAAGGAUAAUGAGAUUUAUUUGUAUUAGUUGUAAUUUAAAAUGUUCAAAUUUAUUUUGAAAAUUAAUAUAAUAUAUGGUGAUACAUUAUAAUAUAAAAUUUAUAUUUAAUUAAGCUUUAUUAUAUAAAUUUAAUUUUGGGUAUAAUUCAGAAUUAAUUUAUGAGAGAUCAAAUUGAUUUAUAUUAAAACUAUAAGUUAAAAUUUAAUAGGUAUAUAACACACAUUAAAACUAUACAUUAUGAGAGAAAAUUAUAUUUGAAUAUGAUUCAAUUUUGGAUUAAAUUAAAGAGAAAAAUUUUAAAAUAAUAGAUUUUACAAAAUAUUUACAACCUAUAAUAAAUUCUAUCACUGAUGGUCAUUGAUAUGCUAAAAAUCCAAAAUUUUGUUAAAGCUUAUAAAUAUUCUAUCACUACCUCUAAGAAGAAUUCUCUUUCAAAAUUUCUCAUUCUAAUUUUGGUUUCCACCCACCAAAAUUUUGGUUUUCAGGUGGUGGUAGUGCCACAAAUUUGGUGAUUGGCAGAUCGACAGACUUCUGUGUAAUCUCUAAUUUUAAUUUUGAAAUCAUGCUUAAUCUUAGAAUUUAGAAUUUAGUUUAUGUAUUUAAUUGCCCAUGUAUUGGUUUUUUAAAUUUCUAUUAAAUUGAGUAAUAUUACGAACAUUUUUUCUCUAUGUAACAAAUGAGUUUUAGAUUUUUGCAAUUUAACAAAAUGAUUUCCUUAAUUUCGAAAUAUUUUUUGACCGUCGAUCUGAAAGAGAUUGGAUUUGGAUUUUACAGGUAAUGUUGAGAAAUUUUCCUUAGAAUAUUGAGAAUCUUAAGGCUUGGUGGCUCCUCAGCUUUCAUUGGCAAGAUUCAUUUUCACUAAUUGCUUAAAUCUUCCCAUUUAAUCACGUCGUUGAAUCAUUGACUGCUUUUAUAGUUAGAACAUUGGUUGGCUCCUCAGCUUUUAUAGUUAAUUUUGUCCUUAUAUUAAGUAUAUGUCAAUUGAUAAUCUCUUAAAUGAGUUUACUAAGAGGAAUAUGAGCAAUUAUUUUUGGUGCAUACAUCUGUCUUUCAUGGAGGAUAAAGGAUCUCUUGAUGUUGUUUUGUGACUACGUGUUUUGUACUGGUAUUUUUGCUUACAGUAUCUGUCCCCUACACCAGUGAUUUCUACUUUCUGAAGCUACUCGAAAACUAAUUUGAUCUUAAUCAUGUAAUGUUGCAGACUUUGAAUUCUUGAACUACACCAUCAUCACAUUGAAGCUACUCUAAAACUAAUUUGCACAUUGCAGCAUCUUUGCUUCUUUACUCCACUCCUUAUUGAUGGUUUUUCUUUCUAAUUGUAUAGGUUGAGGUGUAAACAAUGAGUCUUUUAACGCCAGGUGGUAUCAGCUAAACCCUUCUCAUUUUUCUAAACUCUUCUCUUUCUUUAAUUGCUUUCUCUUCUUAGCUUUUUUUUUUCUGCUAUAGUUUUAAAUUUUUCGAUAGCUUUUAUCUUCUUGUUCUAACAUUUUUAGCUUUGUCACUUGCACAUCAAAGAAAUAAAAUAAGGACUCACGACACCUCAUCUAAUGAAUGAGUUGAUUGAAAUUAUUUGUUUGAGAGUAAUUUUGAAAUUGAGAAAAUGUGAUUUCAAGAACUUCAAAAUUCACUCUCAAACACCACAUAAGAGUUAAAUGCUUAAUCUGGAUGCACUCUAUUGUUGUCGGUAGUUUUAUUUUUGAAGGUUGUACUAAUAUUUGUCUACACGUACCCAAUGUCGGUUUAUAAAAAAUGGAUAAUAAUGCAACAAUUAAAUAAAAAUAGAUUUACAAAAAUAGAUCCAAAAACAAGACUUUAAUGUCUGUUUUAAAACGUCAGCAUACAAAAGAUCUUGAAUAACACUAUAAAAAAUGACAUUAAAGGCCUUUAAUGUCGUUUUUAAUGUUGUUUUUAAACCGACAUUAAUGAGGCCUUUAAUGUCGUUUUUAAACCAACAAGGAGAAAUGACAUUAAAGACCUUUAAUACCGCUAGCAUAGAUGUCGGUUGCCAAUCGACACCAAAGGCCAUUAAACCGACAUUAAAGGCCAAAUUUAUUCUAGAGCUUGUAGAAUUGAUUUAUUAUGUUUUUAAUAUAUUCUCAACCUAUCCAAAUACAUAUAUGGUGAUGUAAUUCAAUUUAAGGUUGGUCGUUUUGAAGAAUAUUCAAGUCAUUAUCUUGUGUAUGUCGAAAACACAAGUGUGUCAAAUCUAUGAAAUUGUGAAGUUUUUUCCAUUGUUGAUCUUCACUUAUUCGCUAGAUCUUAUUGAUUCGUUCAAAAUGAGUUCUAUUUUAUGAUGGUGGAAGUUCGACUCAGAAUCUUUGUUGAUCUUAAUAUCGUGCCAUUGUUCAUUGUUGAAGCGUGCUUUGGAGAAGAUCAGUUGGUCUUAAUGGGAGCCUAAGACAUCAUCUCUUAAGAAGAGGUUCUCUAACUUAGAGGGAGCAUAAGUUCAUAACGUGAGGAGAUAUUCAUAAGAAUGAUGGAAAAGAUACUAGUAGAGAAGAAACCUUUCACUUAAGGGGAGCCUAAGUGUUCAUUCAUACUAUUCAUAUUAAAGUUAGAGGGAGCCUAAGAACGUUAAAGGUGAGGGGGAUCUCACACUUAGGGGUAGCCUAUGAACAAACGCCAUAUUUUUCAGUUUAGUACUUAACUGAUUUUCUUGACGUUUCAAUUAUCAUCCUAAUGUAUUUACUCCUUUUCCAAUUGAGUCCUUACUUUUCAUCAUAUAUGUCAAAUUUUGUUGAUAUAAAAAGGACAUGUAAUGUGAAAUUAUAUUGUCUAUUAACCUGAUUGAAAUUGUGGGAUGUGCUCUAGUUUGUUGAAGUAAACAUACUACUAGUAGUAUGUGUUAUAGUGUUCAUCUAAGUUUACGGAUCUACAGCAUUUAUCAUGGAGAAAUGUUACAGUUUCAAAUCUUCCAACUUUACAUCUCAUAUAUAUAUAUAUAUACAUGACAUAUUGUUGAAUACCAUUAUGGAUCCUAUACUUAUUCAAUAUUAUAUAUAUAUAUAUAUAUAUAUGACAUGAUAGAUGAUGGUGAUCGUGUUUGUAGAUAAUUGAUCCACUGCUAAAAUGCAUAUAUGUUGCUUCCACAAUUAUUUAGGUUGAGGACUUAGUUGAAGAAAAGAUUCAUUACAUAAUAGACUUAUUUAUACACCUCUAAAACAUUAAAAGAAAAAAACCAAGUUAAAUAUAAUGGGACUAAAAUAUGUGGUUGGAAAUUAAAAGGCACACAAACAUAUAAAGAACUAAAUUAUGUGGUUGGAGUUGGUAUGACUUAGACUACUUUCCUAAUUCGUAUAAACAGUGGAACACCUGGGUAUUCCAGUUGAGUCAACACAAUUAAUUUUAACAAAAAUUUGGCCUUUGCCUUUCUUUAAUCUAAUGUUGAACAAUAAAUUUAAUUUUAACCAAAGUUUUGGUUGGUGGUAUUAUUGUUUUUGUUUAAAUAUCAUUUUCAUCUUUAUACUUCUUCCAUUUUAUUCUUCUUUCAACUUUUAAUAAAUAUUAAAUAAAAUUUUAAAAUUAUAUUUUCAUAUUGUGUUUUUUAUAAAAAUUAUUACCAUUAUUUAAUCACUUAAAUUUAAACCAAUUUCAAAAUGCACUAUUGAAUAACCAAAGAUUUAGAUAAAAUAUGUGAAUCUAAUACAAAAUUUGAGAAAUAUCCUAAAUUAUUAUUUAUUUUCUUGAUUAGGCUUUACUAUAUUUUUAGGAAAAUUAUAAUCUUAUUAUAUAUAAUUUUCCAAAUUAAAUUCAAAUUAUUUCUUUAUUUAUAUUAUACUCAACUUAUUAUAUAAAUGGUAACUUCUUUAAUUAUUAAUACAUAUAUAUUUAUAUUUAUUAAUGAAAUUUUUAUUACGUUUGUAAUAAUUUAAAUAUGAUAUAAAUUAUUAUCUUACAUGAAAAUAAUAUUUUUAAUUAUAAUACAAAAUAAUUAAUUUUUAAUUUCAUUUUCAAAAGCAAAAGUUUUUUUCUCACGACCAUCAAUUUCGACAUUGGCUUUCUUCUCUGAUUUGUAUUUUAAAAAAUUGCUUUCUUUUUCACUUUCGAUUUUCUAUCGUAUAUAUAGUUGGUCUUUUUUUUUUCCUUUCGUAGCAUAUAUUUUUUUUUUCCUUAAAAAAUUUGUUCUUCUUCCGUUCCGUAGCAUAUAUUUCGAUCAUGUUUCUUCUAUUUGUUUAAUUUUUUAUUAAGGUAAUUAUAAUUGAUGAUCAUUUUAUGAAUAAUAAUUAAGGAUAUAGCAACAUUUAAAAAAAAAUUACAAAUAUAGCAAAACUGUCGCUGAUAGACUUGUGUCGCUGAUAGAUUUGUAUGAUCUAUCAAUAAUUGACCAAUAUUUACAACAUAAUAUAUCGGUGAUAGACUUCUAUCAUUGAUAGAAUUUGACAAAUUUUGCUAUAUUUACAAAUUUUUUUAAAAUGUUGCUAUAUACUUAAUUAUUUUGCAUCUAAUGACUAAAUUUGCAACUAUCUCAUUUUAUUAUUCAGUUCAUCUUCCUGUCAUCCUCGAUAUAUAAUUUUUAUUAAAUGAUUUGUCAUUCGUAUAUACUAUGAUAUACCACUAAAUAAUAAAUAGGGAUAGUUGUAAAUUUAGCAAUUAAAUUCAAAAUAAUUAAGUAUAUAGCAACAUUUAAAAAAAUUGCAAAUAUAGCAAAAUUUGUAAAAUUCUAUCAAUGAUAGAGUCUAUCACUGAUAGACCAUGUUGUAAAAAAUGAUCUAUCACCGAUAGAUCAUACGAGUCUAUUAGUGAUACAAGUCUAUCAGCGAUAGUUUUGCUAUAUUUGCAAUUUUUUGAAAAUGUUGUUAUAUCCUUAAUUAUUAUUCCUCAAAUCGUCACUCAUUACAAUUACUCUAAUAAAUUUAUGUUUUGUGAUUUGUCACAUAUAUACUACCACAUAUAUUCAAUAAUACAUACCCAUAUUCUUUUUCUUGUUAUGUGAUUUUUUCUUAUUGCGUAUAUAUACUAAUAUAUACAAAGAUUAUAUAUUCAUUUAGAUUUUUUUUUUUAUUUCUUACAUAUAUGCUAACUAAAUAAUUCAUUUAUGUUUUGUGAUUUGUUACAUAUAUACUACUGCAUAUAUUUAAUAAUACAUGCAUAGAUGUUUUUUCAUGUGUUGUGAUUUUUUUUACUGCAUUUAUAUACCAAUAUAUACACAGAUUAUGUAUCCGAUCAACAUUUUUUUUAAUUAUUACAUAUAUACUACUGCAUAAUACACAUAUUUUUGUUAUUUGUUACAUAUAUAUUACUUCAUAUAUUCAAUAAUGCAUAAAUGAUGUUAUCUUCAAUAUACUCAAUAUAUCUUAAUGUAUUUCGAAUACGAAAUAUAAAUUCUUACUAAUCUUAAAUUUAUGUACCAGUUGGUUGUCGAUGCUCUUCUUCUUCACCAUUUAUAUUUUUCCAAAUAUUCUAUUAUUUUGCGUCUUUUGUGAAGAAAAUGAAAUCAAUAUUCAACGUAUAUAUUCAAAGAAUGAAACAUUUAUUUAUUUUUUAAUUUUCUAAACCGUAACCCACGUCCCUGAUUUCUCUCCUUGUCAGUCCACAUUCUAUAAACAAAUUGAUAUAAGAACUUUUCAUUCAUAAAAUAUACACCGUAUUAUUAAAUAAAUACUAUAAUUAGGUAGAAUAUAUGAAAAACAAUGCAAAAUGAAAGAAAGAUUGGACGGAGAGAGAUUGAAAAGUGAGAGAGAUCGAGAGAGAAGAUUUUUUUAACAAAAUCACCAAAAUAAAAAUAAUUACAGGAAUUUUUUUAUUAUAAUAUUACCAUAAUAGAAUUAUUCACUUACCAUAUUUACCUAACAUAUCUAAUAAAUGAAAAUAUUAAUCAUGAUCUAUUUUUCUUUUUUAAUAUAUUAUUAAUAAUAAAAGGGUAAAUUGGUCAUUUGGGCCUUAUAUUUGUGAUAAAUAUUAGGGGUGAAAAAACACGAACCGAACUGAAUCGGUUUGGUUCGGGUUGGAUUGAGCUUCAACAAUGUAAGUGAAUUCACACUUCUCAUUUCUUCGUCUUCAGCACCGGUCCUUCAUCUUCGUCAUUCGCCAGUCCUUCAUUCGCCUUCCUCCUACACGAAUUCACGUGGGUUCGUUUUCUUCAUUCGUGGGUUCGUUCUCCAUUCUCCAUUCUCCAUUCUUCGUUCUUCGUUCGUCGCCAUUCUCCGUUCUCUGUGGCUUCGUUCGCUGUAAAAUUUUCAAGCUAAGCCAUCUUGAUUCUCAUCGUGGAUCUUCUCUUUCUCUUCUUGGAUCGAAACCGCGGGUAAAUUUCCUCCUCUUUUUUUACACGAUUUUCAAACAUAUUCCCUCUUUUCCUUUACUCCCUUUACUUCGUCGGUAAAUAUUAUGUUUGUUUUAUGGAGAACUUCUGUUCAUAAUUUUAUGUUUGGUGACUUUUUUUUCUUUGUCCUAAAUUGAACCUGGGUAGCUACUCUUAUUGAAAUACAAUUUUGUUUUAAGUUCAAGCACUGUUCAUAAUUUUAUGUUUGUGUAUAUAUAGGUUGCUAUUGUGUGGUUGCUGUGGAUAUUUCUCUUCCCUGUGCUAUUUAAGCAUUCUUUGGAUAUCAUGGCUAUUAGGGUAUGGAUUGGUUGGUGUGCUAUUUAAGUUCAAGCAUUCUUUGCUAGUUUAUUUCUAGAAAAUGAAAAUAUAUAUUUUAUUGUUUUCUCAUUAAAGAUAUAUGAGAUAUAUGCUUUGUUGUGUGGGGCUGCAAAUUUUGUUUGUUUAUGCUUUGUUGUGUGGGACUACACAUAUCAUGGUACAAAUUUUGUUAGUGUAGAAAAGUAUUGUCCAUUGGAGAUAUAUAUUUUACUUAUUGUUUUGUUUGAUGAUUAUUAGUUAAAAAUUGUGUGCUUUUUUUUUGUUUGUUUUGUUUGAUGAUUAUUAGGAUGACUUCAUUCUCUAUAGAUGAAACUUCAAAUCAAAGUUGUUCUAGUUCAGUGUUAGGAAAAAGAAAACCGGUUAAACCACCAUCAUCGGUAUGGAAACAUUUUAUAAAAGUAGAAAGAUGUGAUCCUAAAUUUUCUAGGACUGCUUGUAAAUAACAUUGUAGGACUUCAUAUGCUUGUGAUUCCAAAAAAAAUGGAAUAUUAUUUUCGAAGUAAGCAUUUAAGAUUUAAAAUUGUCUCAUUAAGCUAACAGUUUGUCAUUUUGAUCUAGAAUUCAUAAACAUAGGAAAUGAGAUAGAAACUGCAUUUGAGAAUUGAAUCAUAACUCUAUGGUAUAAAUUCCUACUCUCAAAUCUAUUUACAUUUCUUUUGUUUUAAAUUGUUAAUAUCUUUGAAUCUUGUUUGUUUAGAAUCUUGAAGCACAAGGAUGAAUAAACUUUAUACUUCUCGAGUUCCAUCACAGUAAGUUAUUUGCUUAACUUAUAAAUAUUCUUUUUCUAGAUAGUUCACUAAAUUAGUAAAUUCAUUCUCCAUGCAAUAGGGGAGAAGGUGGAAUAUUGGCUAGAUUUGUGGUAAUAGACUAAUAGGUGGAAAGUUGAAUGUUGGAUACCAUCAUGGUUGUUUUGUUCUUUGUUCUACUCUCAAAUUUGAUCCACAUGGUUCUUUUAUUCUUUUGUUCUACUCUCAAAUUUGAUCCACAUGGUUCUUUUAUUCUACUUACAAAUUUGAUCCAUCCAAGCUUGUAAAUUAUAACAUACUCCACCAAUUGCACUGUAAUUAUAGUGAUUGUGACGAAUGUGUAUGAGAGUCAACAUUAUUAAAAUUGGUUAUUUUGCAAUCACCAUUUGAAAUAAAGAAAUAGAGAAAAGAGAAGAAGAAGAAGAGAGAAAAGAGAAAAUAGCAAAGAGAGGAGGAACAAAAUUCGACCCGACCCGAAUUUUGGGUCAUAAUUGAAAGAGACUUGGGUCGGAUCGGGUCUGGGUCGGGUUUGAAGGAAAACCGACCCGACCCAGUCCAAUUACACCUUUAAUAAAUAUUAGUCAAUUUAGUACAUUUCUAAAAAAUUAGGAAAAUUUGGAUUAAUCUUGUAAUAUGGUAUAUUAUUUUAGGAUAUCUUAAUUAAAGACCCUCAAAUGAAUCCAUCUUCUCUGUUUACCUAGCUGUAUAUCGUAGAUAGACAGAGAUAGAACAUUAUCACUAAUAGAUCGUUUUGAUUUUGUAUAAGAUCGUUUCGACUAGAUAUAAGAUUAUUUAGAUUUGAUACAAAAUUGUUUAGACUGAGUAUAAGAUCAUUUAGACAAGAUUGUUGCUAAGAGAUCGUUUAGAUUUGCUACAAGAUCGUUGUUACAAGAUUGUUGCUAAGAGAUUGUUUAGACUAGCUACACAAUCAUUUUUUCAUGUGUGUGUGAUUGAUUAGUCACAUGGUAUUUUUGUUAUUUCAUCCUGUGGGUUUGUGAAUCUUUUUAUUUUUUAAAAUUGUUAUAUAUAGUGUAAAUAUUUUUACAUUUUGUUCUACUUUUUAAAAAACCUCAUUUAAAAACAUGCUAGUGUAUUUAAAACCAGAUAGGAUUUUUAAUUUAUAAGGUUAUCCUCAAGAAUACCAAAAUAAAAGAAACUAUUUACAAAAAUCAUCUAAUUCUUUCUGAUUGAUUUAAUUUUCUUUCGUAAUAUUAUGUAACAUUUUUUUUAAUCUAUAACAACUCUUCUUUAUUUAUCUAUUUUCACCUAAUUAAAUUCAAUUUCUACUUUUCAUAAGUUAAGUACAUUAAUUUUUUUUUUUAAAGAAAAAUAGUAUACAAUAUGAAUUUUAAAAAAAAGUAUACUAUUUCCUAAAUAUUUAAAAUUAAUUUAUAAGAUUUUCUUUUAUCACACUAAACAAUUAUUUUAAAUUUUAAAUUUGAGAAAAAAAAAAAGUUAGAGUGAUUAUAUCUAAAAUAUGAUGUUAUUGUAUUUAUUACGGAGCACUAUAACCUACUUUUUCAAGUACACUAUUUCACUUCUUUUCAUAGCCAAUUAUUCUAAAACUGCAAUGGAUGACAAUUAUUUUUAAAAAUAUGGCAAUUACAAAUAAAGCCUUCAAAUCUUUGCAAAAGUUUUUAAAAAGAUUACAAAAUCAAUCCGGGUUUAAUUGGUACAAAAUGAAAAGGUGAAAAAAUCUCAAGAAGUGACUAAAAAGUAAAAGACCAAAUGGUAUAAAGUUUCCUUAGAAUUUGUACUUUUGUGUCAAAUGAACCUUUAUACUUUAUACUUUUAGAAGAUAAAAAAAAGAUACCUUUAAACUAAAAGUUAAAAAAUAUCCUUAUAUUAGUUUUGGAUAGAAACCAUUAGUACUUUGUUUUAGAAGUGUCACACCCCGUUUAUUAUCCGUCUAAAAAUAUAUUUUUCCUAAAAUAAGUGACGGUAAAAGUAAGUUAUAAAAUUUUGCACAAAUUUCGGUGGAGGUUUUUCCAAAAAAAAUAGAUUUAACUACAUUUGAAAAAGUAACAAUUUUAAAAAUAACAAAAUAAAUUAAAAUAUUUACAAGCUAUAGCAAAAUUUUGGAUUGUAUAACUGACUGUAACGACCCAACUUUUCUAACUAAGUCCAAGUCUUUAAUUUCAAACAAAGACCUGAAUUUACAUAAAAAUAUCAAGUUCAAAUAAAUUCAAAGUCUGAAAGAGAGCAAAAUUUAUAUUUGGAACCUGUUUAAAAUAACCAAAACUUUCAAAGAAAAGCUUACAAAUCACCCGUUCGUGAAUUCAGUUAAACUACAAAAUUUUCUAAACAGUCUCAUGUACUAAAACAAAACAAGAAAAUAAAACAUUAAGCUGAAACAAAUUUAAAAUGUCCCAUAUGGCUAUCACGCUUCCUUCCUGUUCCUCGCCGGUCUACCUCCACUGUUACCUUUGACUGAAAAAGUUAAACAUGAAAGGGUGAGUAACAUGAAAGGGUGAGUAUAAACAUACUCAGUAAGAGACCCACUACGGGUCCCGUUAGGAGAAAAUAAACUGUUAACUUUCUAUUAGGGUACCCUACACCGUCACAGUUUUGUGAUCCCAUAGGAUACACAUUAUGAGUCACAGUCUUGUGAGCAUGUACGUUACACAUAAUCAAUCUAACGCCCCGAGGGAUGCACAUGUCAGUCUAGUGUUUUACAGAAGUAAAACACAUAUAAGUCUAAUGCUCCCGAAAGAUGCAUUAUAAGUGGUGAUGCCACAUGACACCUACUACAAGGCACACAUCCCACUAGAAAGCUAACAAUACACACAAUUCAUGUGUCUACGUCCAUACGCAUAUAUAUAUUAGUGGUGAGUCCAGUAGUAGAGAAUCUCUUACCUUAAGGUUGCUCAAUUUCUAGAACAACUAUAUCCAACAAAAGACACCAAGGUUUUGGCGAACCGAACUCAAAAUUCACAAUUUGGUUGUGAAUUCAAGUGACCCAAUGUUAUUUCCAACACCUUCAAAAAUCAAAUAACAAAUUAAUCAACCAUUCCAACCAUAAUGUUUGAACACUUGAAACAAUUACAACCCAUAACCUAAAUUGUUACCAACAAAACAACUUUGACCAUUCGCAGACGAAAGAAGCAGCGACUAUUGAUCCCAACGAAAAAUCGUGCAAAUCGAUCAGAGUGUAAGUUGGCUUGUAACUCACGGUUGGAAGUCGAAAAGUUAUGGCGGCACAGGGCGUUCGGUGGACGGUUGAUGAAGCAAGCGGCGGCUUCACGAAUCGGGACGAUAGAGACGGAAUGAAAGGGCUGAGCAACGACGCUCUGGCUUUAGCCCGACGAACGACAGCGUGUACGGCUGCUGGGCUUCGUCGAACGGAAAAGAGAAAGAUGGUGGCAGAACAUUUCGACUUCGAUAGAGACAGCACCGAUGACGGCGGACGGCUACUGAAAACGUCGCGUUGUGGCGUGACCGGCCGAAACGGAAGAAUGGGAGAAUGGAGACAGACGAUGACUGGGUAGGCACGGGAAAGAAACGAGAAAAGAAAAGAAAGAUGAAGGGGGUGGGAGGCACACACGUGAGAGAGGGGAGAGAGAGAAAAAGAAAAUGUUUCUUUUCUUUUAUUUAUUUUAAUAAAUAAUAAUAAUAAUAAUAACAUUGAUUGUCUCACCAUGCAAACUUUAGUAUAAUAUAAAUCCCAAUCAAAUUCUCAUGCGUAAACUAAAAAAGAAAAAUAGUUUAUAGUCCAACGGUAAAUUUAUUUAAAAUAAACAUCCCCUAACAUGCCACUAAUGUAAGACCCAAACUUUAGGUGGUGUAGUUUUUCCAAAGAGUUUAAGUGGUUUGAAAGAAGGAAAAUGUUUGGUUAAGUGAAUCUAGGCGAGAUGACCUUGAAAAUUAGCUAUGCGUUUUGGACAACUAUGUGUCAUGAUAAGUGAAAGUUGUUUAAGGAUUUAUUGAAGUGUUAAAGCCUUGUUAGCAUGUGUUCUUAUGUAUAAAAGUAAGCAGGAGGUGCCUUAAGAAUGUUUAAGGUGGAUUUAAGCAAGGAUGGGGUGUCAACUUGUACUCGUGCAAUGAACUCUAUAAAUAGGCCAUCUUCAGUAUUGAGUUUCUCACAAUCCACUAGAGCGUUUUGAGUGAUUUUAUGCUAAAAAAUUUAUCUUUUAAGUCUAUUUUCUAUAUUAGGGAUGUUGGUUUAAUUUGGGAAAGAGAAAGCUAAGUUUGAGUUAAAAGAAGAGAGGAAGGUCAUUCUUUGGUAAAAAUUGAAUAGUAUUUACUCCAAGGAGGCUACAGGACGCAUUCGGUUGGAUCUUUUGCUGUAAAUUUGAGGUAAUAUUAUUAAGAUGUUUUUCAAAAACUCUGUAGAAGCAAAUAUUUUUAUUCGAGUUCUGGAUUUUAAGUUAUAAAGCUCUAAAUAAGAAGCUGAGUUCUGACUGAGAAUGAGCUUUUGGACAGUGGCCGAGUUUAAGAAAUUAGCAUGGCAUGUUGGGCAUGCGUUUUGGUUUUAGAAAGGUUUUUCUAAGCAAUUUGGGUUGUGUUUGAUGUUAGUUGGAGCUCUUUUCCAUCAUUUCAGGACAAGAGGAAAUCAUGCAAACUUAUGGACCAAGAGUUUGAUCUGCGAUUAGUGAGUGAAAAAUGAAUUUAUUAAAGUUAUUUCAACUUAUGGUUUGUGAGUGAAAAAUGAAUUUACUAGAUUAUUUCAACUUAUAAAAUGAUUCCUAAAUUAACGGUUCUAAUAUAUUUUACAAGUUAUUAUUUAAGUAUGCUUUUAAGUUAAUCUUAUUUUUAUUUAUCGAUAUGUUUACGAAAAGUGUUAAAGCAUGUUAUUUAGAAACGUAUUCUAAAGCAUGAGUUUAUAAAGGUUUUUAGCAAACAUGUAUUUAUAAGAUUUACAAGCAAUGAUUUAUGAAAAGCAGGAGUUUAAUAGAAUGUUUUUAAGGAGAAAAUCAUGGUACUCUAUAUACCGUGUUCUCGAUGGUCAAUGUGUACAGUUAGGGGUAUAGGGCUAUGAUGACCACUUAGUUGUUACCACCGAGUUCAGGCAAGAUUAGUAUGAUCAAUGCUCUACUAUCUUGACCGAGUUCAGGCAGGAAUAUUAUGACCAAAGGUGCUUUGCUAUCCUGAUCAAGUAUUUAAUUGAGGUUUAGUGGGAUAGUAUGAUAGAAGGCGCUCUGCUAUCUUGUUUAUGUUUUUCAGGGUAUAGAGUAUACAGAGUUAAAUUAGUAUUUAAAUGUUAGAAAAUGUUUAGUUUAAAGAGACUUUUUAAAGAUUUUACCAGAUGUUUAUGAAAUAUUUAAAGUAUGGUUGUUUUAAAAGUUUGUUUUAUAAAACCAUCACUCACUGGGCUUUUAGCUCACCAUUUCAAAAUGUUUUUUCACUUUCCAGGUAGAGGUCUUGAUUCGAGAAUCUGAUUGUUGUCUUUAGGUUGAUGUGCAAAGUUAUUCGUAGUUAGUGUUAUUAAGAGUUAGUUUUAAUCUUAUUGUGUACAAGUUUGUAAUCAGCCGCAUUUAGCCUCAACUACCUGUUUAAAGUUUAAAAAGUUGUUCAAGUUAUUUCUCUUAGUUUUCGCAGCAUAAAUUUUAAUUCAUAUAGGGUUGUUAAAAGUUGUAGUUAGGGUCAAUUGAUGUUGUUCAGAAGAAUAAUGACAUCGGUUGGCUUCACGCCGCUUCUUGGGUCGAGCAAGCAGGUGCUCGAGGUGGGGUGUGACAACUAAUGGAUCCUAACUAUCAUAGGGAUACUACCUAAGUGCAUGUACACACAAUGCAACAGUUACUAGCAAGCACAACAAUUAUUUAAUUUCAUGGUUGUAGCUAAAUCGCAUCCUAUUCCCUUGACUUUGAAGUUUUGGUCGUAUUGCAGUUUAUGGUGUGACAUUUCCAGUUUUGACGUCACAUUGGCCACGUCGAAGAAAAGAGAAAUAAAUAUUUAAUUCUUUGCAUUUUCCCCGACGUGAAGCACACACACAUUGAGAAUGUGUUCCCCAUUUCUGAUGCCAACGUUGACCACAUCGAGAAAAGGAAAAAACUAAAUAAUUAAUUUCUUUUCUUUGAUGCCAUGCAGGCAACGUUGGGGAGGUGAUAUCUAUUCCUGAAGUUAGCCAACUAAGUGUUAAUCACUUAAUUGAAGAACAAAGAAUAAGGUCGGAGUUGCCAGAUAAGCAAAUGGAAGAAAGUGUCCGAAAAAUGGAAAAAAAUGCAAGACAAAUGGAAGAGAUGAGGAAAAUGAUUGUGGAAAUGCGUUAGGCACAAAGAGGACCGUGAACACUUAGGACACGUAUUUUCAACUUUUAAUUUGUUUAAUUAUUCGUCGGUGAUAUGUAUCUAACUUUAGUUUUAUGUCAUUUGUAGGUUAGUUUGUUUUCCUUUACAUGUAAUUGUUUUGACUAAUUUAAACAACUUAUAAUUUUUGUUAUACAAUUGAAUUUAGUAUUAAUUUCAUGAAUUGCAAAUUUUUAUUUUAAUAAUUUGUUUCAAAAUUUUGUUGGUUGACUUUCGAAUCGAAACCCAAAACAAUACCUCCCAAUAACAAAAAUAAAUAAAUAAAUAAAUAAAUAAAUAAAAGAAUAUAAAAAUUAUCUCCUGACGUUACUUAUACGUCAAGAAUAAUAGCUUCCCCGAUGUCGUUGAAUAUGCGUCAGAGAAAACUUCUCUCGACGCCACGUUGGGAGAAAUGUAUGCCCAACGCAUGGAGGAGACAUCGGGUGUACGCCAUUGCCAACAUCAGACACCCAUUGGCAUUGACGGCGUCGGGGAUACGACAUUCCCGACAGUGUCAAGUUCGCACGUCAGAAAUUGCUCCACCGAUGUAGUAUGCCCGACGUUCUUCCCGACGAAGCAUCUGACAUCGAGAGAAGUUGUCCCGACCCAUUUUAGUACAAAUGCUAAUGCUUUAUGGCGUCAGGAAUUCUCCAAAUCCUUGAAGUGUAGGUUCAUGCCCAUGUUAUAUUUAUCAUGACUCUUCAUGUCCAUUUUCAUGUACAAUGGUGUAUCUUUAGACCACCACACAUGGAUACAAAUGAUAAAUUAACAAGUUAGACAACCAAACUAAGAUUAAUUGAUAUAUGCAUGUUCCACUGGCAUAAUUUCUUUUACUAGACAUAAAUGUAUACCUUGUUUGGGUAGUAGGGUUAUUGAAUAUUUUUAUACUCAUCCUUUCUCAUGUCAUGUUUUCAGAUAAAGACAAAAGGUGUACCAAGUGCAUGAUUAGGAGACCUUUUGAAUGUGCCAUAUGGGAAUAGUGUUAAGACUUUCGCUCAUUCCCAAAUCUUUUAAAGAUAAUUUGAACACGUUUUCAAUUAGAUCAACUGAGAUUAGAAAUUUGAAAUGUAAGUGUUGAAUUUUAUUUAAAUAUAUCAAUAACUACAAACAUUUGAUUCCAAACUUAUGCGUCAAACAUCCCGAGAAUUGGAAUAAGCUCGAUUUAGAAUUAUUAGGUUUGAAAAUAAUAUCUGUGGGAUUGUGGUUGUAGAAUAAUGAUUAUGUGUUUGGUAGAUGAAUAUAAAAUCAUUUUAUUUUAGAUAUAACAAUCUAAAAAAUAGAUUUUGUUUUUUGAAAUGACUUUUUAAAGCGAUUAAGCAAACGUAAGCUAAAUGUAUGUGACCAAAUUUGUAAAUUUAACCAAAUAUUAAAAAGGAAAAGAAAAAUCAACUCUUAGAGUGGAGAAUGUGUAAACAAAGUCAUCUCAACAUACUCCUACUCCUCUAAAACGCCAAAUUUGUGAUUGAAAUUUGAUUCAACUUAGUAUUUUGCUUGAAAAUUCAUACAACCACUGAUUCUUCAAUGCAGCAUUUUGGUUCAGCACCUAGAUUUCAAAUUCCCAAGAACAUUCAACUUUCGCUCCAUAGCAUUAACAAAUCCAUCUUCCCAUUCUGGGGUUUCUGAACUCAACUGACUUGAAGCCUGCUCAGCUGUUGCACAAAUGGCGUGGAAUCUCAUCUUUUGGUUCAUCUCUUUCUGUUUUAACAUCGCCCUCCUCGUCCUCAACUUUUACCAGGUACAUCCUUUCUAAUCUCUCAUCAACCCUAGUUUUGGAGAACAAACUUCUUCAUAAUUGGUUAAGUUUGAAUCCGUCUGCUAAAACGUAUCCCGAAUCUUCUUCUUCUUCUUCUUGCAAUCCUGUUUUGCUUAUUCAAUAAGGAGUGGAGGUUUGAUGCUUAUUCAAUAAGGAGUAGAGGUUUGAUGUGUAUCUCAGAUUCGUUUUGCUGCGCCAGACUAUUUCGACCUCAGUUUGAUUUACGGCUAGAUGUGACCUAGAUUUUUAUUGGUGGAGUCUUUACACUGUCGUUGACCUAUUUUUGAAAUUGAUUCUAUGCCUUCUUACUAUUUCACGCUCUUGAAUUCUUCACCAAGCAGUAGAAUAGUCAAUUUUACGGUGAUGGAUUUGAUAUUUUUUUUUUAUCUAUCGUGCACUGUUAGAAAAGAAAAACGUAUUCUCAUAAUUGUGCACUGUUGGCUAUUGGAAAUGCCCCCAUUUCGUUUACUAUGUUCAUGUACAUUGGCAGAAAGUGAGAGGUGGCUGCUCUAAUUUUCUCAUGAACUAAGAUGAUUGCUAUAGAGAUUGUCUAGGUACAAUUUUGCUCCCCAGUUGGAGGCAUCUAACGGUCGUGGUUGAUCUUUUUGUAGCUUUUGGUACUAACGGAUUUGGAGGCAGAUUAUUUGAACAUCUAUGAUUCAUCAUCUCGCAUUAAUAAACUUGUCAUUCCGGAGUUUUUAGUGCAAGGAGUAUUUUGCUCUCUUUUCCUCUUCACAGGUCAUUGGUUCAUGUUUCUUAUAACCGUCCCUGUUACCUGCUAUCACAUAAAUUUGUAAGUAUUUCUUGAAUUGAUAUGAGGCAUGGUUUAAUUUUCCUUUUACUCUGUGUUAUGGAUGUGUUAUAUUGGUGGUGUUUCUUUGUUAUGAAUACUAAAGUGUUAUGGAUGUCAAUUUGAGCAUAUCUCAAUUGGUUAAGACAUAUACACUCGACUAUGAGGUUAGAGAUUUAAAUCAAAAUUACCCAUCUCAUGUUGUUGAACUCUCGUGUUAUGGAUGAGGCUUAUGAUUUUAUUUACUAGUAAAAUGAAUUAAAAAAUUAUAUAUACUUCUUACUGUUUUAAUAUGUUUUGGUUUGUUUUUAAGGUGAAUAUUCUUUAAGAUGCAAACAUUUAGUGAAACUACUAUGAAGAAUUCGGAGCAUUGAAUACUUCCCUCUCAAGUUGAGAUGGCCAUUUCUAAAAUGAGUGAACGAUACCUGUAGUUGUCAAAUUACUGGAUGCCCUUUAAGGUUAUGGUAACAGUUGCUCUCAACGUUGGAUAUGUUCUGGGUAAUUUGGUGUAUUUAGGAGUUUUCUGGUGCAUUUGGGCAGUACGAUUAGCAGGGUUGGGGCGGGGACUGCAGGGUUAUAAUUUUAGAUAUUCAAUGAUGAGCAUUUCUGAGGACACCGUUAGCUCAUAAGCUGAGAUUUACAUGAAUUUUCAAUUUUAACUGGUCUGUUCAACUCAUUCUGGCUUGUUUUUUUUUAAUAUAUGAUCAUUUUCCCCCUUUAUUUGGAUGAUUCCAUGCUUUUUAAUAUCAAAAAAUGAGGAAAGCAGUUAGUUAGAUCCCCAAGCAAAUGACUUUUGUGGAAUACGCUUUAUUGUAGUUGCCUCCAUAUAAUACCUUGUUUUGAAGUUAUUCAUUGAGUUUUAAAUUUCAAAUUUUGUAUUUUGUUUUGAACUAAUAAAGUUGAGUAUCUUGCAACUUGGCCGGUACCACUACCUCUUUGAUAGUAAGAAUGAAGCAAAGCGUGUCAGAAAUGUCCUUACUUGAGCACCUAGAAUCUAGAAACCCAAAAGUGAUUAGGCUAAAAGAUAUUCAACUUGAUUGAGACGGAUAACCAUUCGAACAGAUCUCUGUUAUGGUAAUUCCUUCUGAAAUUGAGCUUUUAUUCACCUAAAUCUUCAUUCACAUAAAUGAUUUUGACUUCUUAGCAAAGGAAAAUGUAUUUGAAUUAUUGAAAGUAGAGACAAAGGACACAAAUUUACUUGGAAAAAACCCGAGUACUGGAAGAAAAACCACGAUAUUUUGUUCUUAUUAUUUUCUUAUAUUAGAAAAGGUGCAAAAGGGGGAAUAUUUAUAUAGGCAACACAAGCCUAAUUAAAAGAAUAAAACAUUAGGUUAAACUUUAAAGUAAAUCUUAACUACCCAAGGGCUUUCAUCAAGGCCAAAGCCCACUAUUUCUAACACUCCCCCUGAAGUUGGGACGUAGAUAUCACUGAGACCCAACUUGCUAACACAAAAGUCAAAGUUCUAUAUGAGAAGUCUCUUGGCGAGGACAUCAGCAACCUGAUGACUUGAAGUAAUGUACGAACUACAUAUGCUACCAUUGUCCGGCCUUUCUAUGAUCAAUCUCAACACGUUUAGUUUUAUCAUGUGGAACUUGAUUGUUGGUGAUGCUAAUGGCUGCCUUGUUAUCACAAAAUAAUUUCAUUGGUAUCUCACAAUUCUGAUGAAGAUCAGGCAAAACUUUUUGGAGCCAAAUUUCCUACCAUAUUCCUAAACUCAGCCUCAGGCUUCUAGCCAUGACCCUUCCUUUUUACUCCUCCAAGUUACAAGAUUGCACAUACAAAGGUAUAAUAACCAUAGGUAGAUUUCCUGUCAACAAUAGACCCCAACCAGUAUGAAUCAGUAUAAGUCUCAAUAGUUUUCCUGUCCAUCUUUCUGAACAUCAAUCCUUUACUAGGAGUCAUUUUUAAGUAUCUUAGUAUUUUAUUUACUGCCUCCAUGUGUUCCUCAUAAGGAGUCUGCAUGAACUAGCUCAUAGCACUCAUAGCAAAGGAAUAUUUGGUCAAGUAUGGGACAAGUAAAUCAACUUACACACUGGACGUUGAUAUUGCUCUUUAUCAACUGAAACUUUAUCAUCUGAAUUUUCCAGUUGACACCCUAGCAUACUUAUCUCGGUCAGUAAAUCAAAGGUAUACUUCCUCUGAGAUAUGAAGAUACUUUCUUUAGAUUUGGCUACCUCUAUUCCACAGAAAUAUUUCAGAUUUUUCAAGUCUUUGAUUUUGAACUCAUCAGCCACCUUCUUUUUCAAUUAGAUGAUUUUAGCGUGGUCGUCUUCAGAUAGAACGAUGUCAUCAACAUAAACAAUCAAUACUAUAAUCUUCUCAGCCUUGGAGACCAUUGUAAUUAAAGUAUGGUCAGAGUGCCCCUAUCUAUACCUAAGGGACUUGACAGAGGUAGCAAAUCUAUAAAACCAUGCUCUAGUUGACUGUUUCAGAUCAUAUAACGAUUUUUGAAAUUUACACACCUGAUGAUUGAAGUGAGCUUCAAACACUGAGGGAGGGCUUAGACUUACUCCUCUAGGUCCCUAUUCAAGAAUGCAUUCUUAACAUCCAAAUGAUAAAGAGGUCAGUCUUUGUUCACAACAAUAGAUAGCAGAACUUUAACAGUAUUUAGUUUAACAACUAGAAAAAAAGUUUCUGAAUAAUCAACACCAUAGGUUUGAGUAAAUCCUUUUGCAACUAACCUCGCCUUGUGUUUGUCAAUGGUUCUAUCUGCCUUGUAUUUUAGAAUGAACACCCAUUUGCAUCCCACAGUUUUACGUCCCUUGGAUGCAGAUUUCCUAAGUCUUGUUCUUCUCAAGGGGCCUCAUCUCUGCAUGACAACAUUUUUACACUCAGGACAUUCUAAAACAAUGUGGAUAUUUCUUGGUAUCAUGGUAGAGACAAGGCUGGCUGUGAAGGCUCUGAACUGAGGAGAUAGGUUCUCAUAAAAAACAUAAUUAGCAAUAGAAUGAUUAGUAUAGGACCUGGUACCUUUCCUUAGUGCAAUAGGUAGAUCAAGAGACGAAUCAUACUUACUGAUAUUUUUUGAACAAUCCUCUCUAAUUUUAUUUUUAGUGACUCUUGCACUGACCCCAUUUUCAUCAUUACUGCCUUUUCCAUCUAGGAUGACCUUAGUAUCAUCAUUACCCUAUUCACCUAUAUUUUCACGAAUAGUUGUCUCGGAUCUCACUUUCACUCAUUUUACUGACAAUGUGUGAGUCGAUAGAAACAGUCAUACCUUGAUCUUGUAAAGGUUCAGAAUCUUGGACUAGGGCUGGCUAAUUAGCACGAGGCCCAACUUCCUUUCUAAGAUUCCUCCCAUAGUAGGUUUUUCAAGGAACUUGGUUCGUAGGUAGGAGUGUGUAGUGAGGAUCUGGGCUUGGUGUGGUAAUAAGAGUAGGAUUGGUAGACUCUAAGGAUAUCAACCAGUUAGAGUUAGACUCUUCACUCUAACUCUGCCGCUGAAGAAGGCUAACGAGAAAGAAAAGAUGAUCUUCAAGAAAGGUAAUGUCCAUGGAGACAAAGUACUUACGAGAAGACGGAUGAAAGCAUUUAUAGUCUUGUUGAUGCUGAGGGUAACCAACGAAAACACAUGCCUGAGCCUGCGGAGUAAACUUAGAUGGGUUAGGGCCAUGGUUAUGAACAUAGGCAGUGCACCUAAAAAAUGGGGCGGGUAGAGGGAUAUGACUCUUUAAGACAGUCUAAGGGUGUCUGGAGAUGUAGGACACGAGAAGACAUUCGGUUGAUAAGAUGGGCUGCAGUGAGAACAAUAUCACCCUUGAGAUAGGAAGGAAAGUAGACAACAUAAGAGAAUGGGCGACUUCUAAAAGGUGACGGUGGGGGUGACACGAACUUUGGUGGACAAUGCCUUUGGAGGACCAAAACUCAUUGAGGGUGUGGUUUUGGAACUCACGACCGUUCUCACUUCCCAAAAUUGCAAUCUUUGUAUUGAACUGCAUUUCUACAGUGUUAUAAAAGUCCCUAAAGAUAGAGGUGACCUCAGAUUUGUCAGAGGCGAGAAAGACCCAGGUAAAAUGGGUAUGGUCAUCAAUAAAGGUUAUGAACCACUAUUUCCCAAAUGAGGUAGUUAUCUUGGAUGGUCCCCAGACAUCACUAUGAACAAGAGUGAAAGGGUGGGUUGGUUUGUAUGAUUGUGAAGGAAAAAAAACUCGAUGUUGUUUAUAGCCCGAAUACAUACAUCACAAGAUAAAGUAGACAUAUCAAUUUUAGAGAAAAGAUGAGGAAAUAAAUGUUUCAUAUAUUGAAAAUUAGGGUGGCCAAAACGAAAAUGCCACAACAUACAAUCUUGUUCAGAAGUAGUAAAAUAGUAAGAUAAAAGACUAGUCCUAGAAAUGCUACUAGAAGAGAUGUCGUCAUCAAGGUACUUCUCAGACAGAACUUUGACUUUUGUGUUAGCAAGUUGAGUCUCAUUGAUAUCUACGUCCCAACUUGAGUACAGAAGCAGCGUUGAUCUCCUCCUUGAUGACGACCAUGAAGUUGGGUCCUACCUCCUUGAUGACGACCAUGUAACUUCCAACACUGUUCUUUGGUAUGCCUUUAUUUUUGCAAUGCUCACACGCAGGAAUUGGUUUUUCAUUGUGCUUGUCACUGCCGCUGGUAGAGGACCUUGAACUAAAAGCAGCGGAGUCAAUAGUAGGUGUUGUCGAAAUACUCAUAGCACUUGUGCGAUCCUCCUCGCGGAGGAUUUCAAAACAGGCUUCCAUCAGGGGAAAGAAUCGGUCUCUUGCUAGUAUACGCCCUCAAACUAUAUCAAACUUAAGAUUAAGACCAGCAAGAAAGUUAUAAAUCCUGUCAAUCUCUUCAAUUCUAGAGUAUUGCAAACCAUCACUGGGAUUGCUCCAGACUAGUUCUCUGCAUAAGUCUGUUUCCUGCUAGAUAAGAGAAAAUUUAUUAAAAAGGGAUGUGACAUCCAUGGUUCCUUGCUUGCAUUCAUAAAUCUGUUUCCUUAGUGUGUAUAGGCGAGAAGCAUUUUGACGUUUGGAGUAGAGUGUCUGGGUCGUGUCCAAAUAUAUUUGGCUGUUGCAGCAUAUAGUAAUGGCUUGCCAAUCUGGGGUUCCAUAUUGUUGACCAACAUGGAUCGAAGAAGAGAGCCCUCUCCCUUCCAGUAUUAUUCCUGUGGGUUGCCUAGUGGAGGACAAGGUAUUUCCCCUGUCAGAAAGCCAAAUUUAUGUUGUCCUUCAAGAACCAUUUUCACUGACUGAGACCAUGAGAAAUAGUUAUUGUCAUUUAACUUUUUCCUUGAAAGAUCCUGUAGACUAUGCCACUGUAUUAGUUGCAUAAAAAGAGGAUAAAGUAGGAAACGAGGUUACUGGAUUCUCUGAUACAUCGGUAUGGGAGUUUUGGAAUGUGCCGAAGAUUCACCAACCUCAAAUGUUGAGUGAGUUUGAGGAUUCUUAACAUCGGGAUGAUAUUUAAGGGCAAUGGGUGGUAGGGCAUACAGAUUUGUCAACAGAAGUCGUGGUGGUCGGUUGGAAUUAGGUGUAUAGGGCGUGGGGAGCAACAUAGGUGGCGGAUGAAGGAGAGGAUUGCACACAAGGGAUGGCUGAGGAGGAUGGACUAGUGCGUGUUUCUCCGACAGCAGUGCGUGGGUGGCGCAUGAGAUAUGUUUAGCGGCAUGGACGACGACAGAAUCGUUGGGAUAACAUUUUCCGACGUUGUUUGAAGGUGGUGGAACCAUUCGUCUAUGGUAGCAUUGAGAUCCGAGCAUCGACGACAGCAUUAAAACCAACGGUUGUGUCUUUUGUUUGAUUUCCAUCACUAGUUAUGUUGUCUAGGGUUUGUUCAAUGUCCCGCUCUAAUAUCAUAUUGAAAGUAGAGGCAAAGAACAUAGAUAUAUGGAGAAACCCGAGUACCGGAAUAAAAACCACGAUAUUUUGUUCUUAUUUUCUUAGAUUCAGAAAGGCACAAAAGGGGGAAUAUUUAAUGGCAAUAAGAGCCUAAUUAAAAGAAUAAACAAUUAGGAUAAAGUAAAUCUUAAUUACCCAUUACCUUUCAUCAAGGUCCAAGUCCACUGUUUCUAACAUGAAUAGAAGGGCAUAGAGGGCCUACAGAAACAUCAACCAAAAUUCCCCCUAAAAUUUGAUGGUGGAGUCAUUAGUGAUUAAAUAUGGAAAGGUCAUGGAUCAAGAAAGAGGCAUUGUUAGCAUACCUCCUAACAAGAACACUCAAGAAAUACAAAUAACACUAAAGAUAGUAAUACAUUACAAUAUCAAUAAAGAAAAUACAAUGUACCACAACCUUCCGAGAGGCUAGUCUUUGCCAAAUUCCCUAAAGGGGGAAUCCCACAAAAAAUUCUUCAUACCUUUUUUCCCAACUCCACCCCUCUAUUUAUAACUAAAGUCUUAACUAAUUUACUAGCUAUUUACUAAUAUGCCCCCUCUAAUAACCAUACUAAUAUUCCUUAUUAGGGGUUUUACAUGCAUACAACCUUCAUUAGGAAUCCAAUGAUCUUUGCUUUAGGAUGCUCUUUUUUUUUAUCACUCAAACUCUUACACUUGGUGAUAGGUCAUGAACCUUUGGAGCUGCUACGAUAACAAUGUGUUGUAAACCAUCGUGAAGGACCCUUGUCAUAUAUACUAGAAAUGACCUUGUUCAAAUUGACUUAGCGGAUAAUGUUCUCAUUUCUCUUCGCAAUAUUACUAAUGUAUACUCCACCAGAGGAAGGGACCCAGUACCCAGCAUGUCAAUCCACAUGAUGGCCAGUAGCCCACCUCUUCUCUAUGCAUCCCGUGCCAUAGGCUUAUUAUUGAUCUUCAAAUAUUUCCCGAUCAUAAAAGUCUUUAUACAGUGUUGUCGGAAUGAGUUGAUGAGUUGAGUAUUUAACUUUUUCAUCAAUAUAAAAUGAAGAGACAGGGCAUGAACUAUUCUUAUAAGUGAAGUGUGUAGAAAAGCAAGUUGAUGUUGGAAGACUAAGUACCGAUGUAUAACUAAAGUAGGCUGGUGAUUUUCAUAGAAUAGUGAUUUUCAACCAUGAUGUACGAAGAAGAAGAAUAAAAGAAUGUUGGAAAUUGAUAAUCAACCAAGUAUUGCACUCUUGGAGGUUGUGUCAAGCACAAGGGAAAAUUCUGUUGCACCCUAUUAUUGCUCUGUUUAUUCUUGGCUUGCCAACUUGUCUGAAUCUUGCAUCCUUUAAAUAAGUGUAAUUCAUUUUGUGUGAUGGAUAUAUCCUACUGCUGACCUUUUUUAAGAAUAAAACUCAGAUUGUUAAAUGAAAGAUAACCUAUUGUAUGAACCUUGGAUCCUACAAAUAUGUCUGUAUUAGAUUCUCAGUUCUGGAUAGACAUCUACUGCUCACAUUUUUCAAGAAUAAAAAUAAAAUUUUCUAACAAUAGUUUCAAUUGCACUAAUUGGACUGAGAAGUGAGAACUUCUUUCAAGUAUUUCUCCGUUUUAUUUUUUUUUCUUGGUGUGUUUAUGACAUGUAUUAUUCGGUUACAAUGUCUCAGAUUUUUGAAGAGGGAGCACCUUAUUGAUGUCACCGAGGUAUUUAGAGCUCUUAAGCGUGAGAAGUAUUUCCGUUUGGCCAAGCUUAUCUUCUACUUGCUUCUUUUCCUCGUAGUAAUUUUCAGGUCAGUUUGCAUUUUUCAUUUUCUCAUUCCUCUCAGCUAUUUCGAAGUUGGUAUUUUCCUGAUUGAAGUUUUCUUUAUUAUUUUCUGUAUAGAAUAAUAGUGGUUGCGGGAAUGAAAUCUGUUUUUGACUCUGCACCUGAAGAUUUAGACAUUCGCUCCUCUGUUCUCGAAUUCUAGAGUUUUUUACUUAACCAUUUAUCAUUCCUUUUGAAAUAUAUAUACGACUACAUUUGACAUUAUCUUCUUUUUUAUUCAUUGCAAAGUUCUUAAAGAUGACGUUGCUCUAAUUUUGAGCUUGUUAUGUUGGUUUGGGAACCUAUACACCAUAUUUCUCUCUAUUGCCUUGGUGCUAAGUAUGUUGUUACAGUAAUGCAUUACUCCAGGAUCUUGCACUUUGUUCUGUUUGCAAUUCGUGCUUCUUUGUAGCUUUUGCUGGUCCAGUAUGUGAUAUAACUUAAUUUAGGAUGUUUAUAGCUUUUCAAAUUUUAAAGAGAUGUUGCAUUUUGUUAUUUUAUGGAGGACUCCCAUGCUUCUCAACAUCCCGAUACAUAUGCACACGUAUACACAUGUAUUGUUCAUCCAUGAUGUAUCGAGGUUUCAUUUCGUCCUACCAAUAAAGAUAAAGCACGAACAUUGAUGUUGUUCAUUUGGAACUUCACCAUCUUACUAGCAUUCUUACCUGUAUUCAAUUAACAUGUAAUGCAGGCUUACUUUGUCUGCAUUCAACUCCUUAUCUGACGAAGACGAUGUCCUACAUUUAUUUUGAUUGCCAUUUUGAUAUCCGAAGUUUGUAUUACGGGUUCUAUCGUGCAUCGGGUUGAUAUUUAUGUGGGAAUUACACGAAGGGAAUGAAUUUGGACUCAGCAACUUCAAACACAUUCAAACAGGUUUUCUCGAUUCCCAUUCUAUAGUUUGGUAGGCUUCAGUAGCAAUCUCAUUGACUUACACCUAAGGAAUUCUUGUAUGUAGAAGAUAGCAUUGUAGGCAUAUUAUGUGAUUUGAUUUGUUUUGGUACCUUCCUUAACUCACUGCUAAGUUGAGGGACCUUCAAGAUUAGGGUUUCAUAUUUUAUCAUUUUUGGAAUAUCAACUCGUUUCAAGUUUUAGUGUUCUUGUAAAAGGAUUGAAAUGAUUUUCAUCAUUCAAUGCCUAACAAAUGUAUUAAGUGUUGUUCUCUUCAAAGGAUACAUUUUUACUAACAUUGUAAACUAUUUUUAGGGCUUGUUUAAAAGUGAAUUCUAAUUUAAACAAUAGUUAAAGACGGGGUUGAUAUAAUAUAUUUAUAAACCAUAAAAUUAAUGGGGUGUUUUAAAAAAAAAUUGUGACUUUGAAGGAGUAAUAAUAUAGAAAAUAUUUGGAGUAAUGAGAAAUGGUGAGAUCUAAUUAAAUAUGGGUAAUUGUAAUUAAUGGGUAUUUGUAGAAUAAUAAUUAAGGAUAUAAUAAUAUUUUUAAAAAGUUACAAAUACAACGAAACUAUCAUUGAUAGACUUGUAUGAUCUAUUAGUGAUAGACCAAUAUUUACAAUAUAGUCUAUCAAUCAUUGAUAGAAUUUGGCAAAUUUUGUUAUAUUCGUAAUUUUUUAAAAAUAUUGCUAUAUAUUUAAUUAUUUUGAAUUUAAUUGCUAAAUUUGCAAUUAUUCCAUUAAAUACAUGCCAGUAGCUACCAAAUUGUAAUCUAAUCGUAUUCCACCUCAUCUUAUGAACUAGCUUCAACCUCAAUUCAAUUUUGACCUUCAACGUCCAUACAAGUGCUCCAACUAAUUCGAUCUAUGUAUCUAUGCCUAAUUACAAUUUGGACUAAUUCAUGCAAACUUUUAAGUCCUAUUGUGUCUUAGUAUAUGAUCAUGUCACAUCAUUAGCCUCAUAUUCCAUUCACAAAUUCGUGUUAUUACCUCAAUAAUCUUACCAUCAACUCUCAACUAUCAUAUGUUUACUCAAAAAGGUAAAGCUUAAACUCAACAAAAGAAAUAGUAUAGUGUAAAAGAAGUGGCUCCAUGCAAAUACAAUUUAAUAAUUUAUCAACCUAACUCAUCCUUUCAGGCUAUCCAUCCUAAUCAAUCUCUUACAAUUUUUUUAGCUUAUGAUUAAGAGAAUAACCAAUUUAUUCAUUAAAAAAUUGUCAUAGGUAGCCAAAGAAAAUUAUUCAAGUAUUUGCAAAUCUAGGAGUUCUUUUUAAUUGCAAAAAGAUAGCAAAAAUUUUGAAUUCAAUUUAGGUUCUUUUUAUUAUUUUCAAUUUUAUCCUCGUUUGUAUAUCAAUAGAUAUAUAUGGUAUAUAUUGUAUAAGGUAAAGCUCGUGUUGUCUAUAAAUAUUGUCAAUACCUCGAUGACCCUCCUAGAAUCUCAAAUUAAGUAUAAAUCUAUAGUAUAUAUUACAAUUGGUCAAACUUGAACUUUGUACACAAGUUGCUAAUAUAAAUGUUUAAGGAUGAAACAAAGUUGUUAAUUUCGUUCUUAUAUGUUUGCUAACGUUGUGGAUAUAGUUGUAAUUGUUGUUGAUAUUAUGUAUAUAUUGUGAACAUAGUUAUGAUUUUUGUUGAUUUUUUUCUCCAUCCAUAUUCGUAAUGACUUCUAAAUUUUCUUUUAAAUUUUUUUAUUUUCAAUUAUUUAAAAGUGAGAAAGUUGGAAAUAUGUUUUCUAUUUCUCUCCCAAUCCAAAGUUUCUUUCACUCUCCUAUCUCAUCAAUCAAUUUAUUUUUUUCACAUAUUAACAUUGUUGUCAUUUUUAUCUCUCAAUCUAACCAAAUAUAAAUAUAAUUUAAUAUUAAUUAAGAUGGUAUAUAAAAGAUUGCUUAUUUUUUAUUUGUAAAACUAUUAAAACUCUAUAUUUGGUUAACAUUAAUUCCACCAUAGGUUAUAAGUUAAAAUGAAAAUUUAGAACUAAUUUAUAAACCAUUAAAACAUAUAGUUAAAUAAUACUACAUUCUUACAUAAAUUUUGUAAAUAAAAUUUGUUAAUUCAUCUCAUUCCUUUCGCCAAGAAUGUGAACCAUUCUCACACAUAUUCUACUGUGAUGACCGCAUCAUCAUCAACAUUCCUUGGAGAUUUUUCUGAUUCGUUUUUCGUUGCUCCGAUUGUUAACACAAACACAUUGGUUAACUUCUCACCGCCAUGUUUUCGCAAACUUCAUUGUUGUCUUGACUCAUUAUGUGGACAUAAGAGCUAGCUCAUUGAUAGAAAUAAAGUUAAUGGUUUACUCGUGAACAUAACAUACAAUCAUCAAACAUGAAAACUUUAGCUUUAGGAACAUUAUGUAUAAGCAAACUGUUUAAUAAACAUCAAGAACAUUACAACAUGCGUUAAGCACUCAUAACAACGUAAGACUCAAAAAGAAUGUUUUCAAGACACCAUUUUUUCUUUUAGAAAAAUCAAUCACAAACUAAUUUUCUUCUUUAGAAUGCCUAAUCCUAGUCUCCUCCUUCUUGCCUAACACUUCUUCAGCAGACAACACUUAGAAAUUUCCUUAAUACAAUCACAGUAACAUCCUUUUCUUCAGACCUUUCAAUCCUAUUUAUACUAGCCUAAGUUGGAUUAGUCACUCAUUAAGCUCCCUUAGCUCGCCAGCUCCUACUUAACACUUUACACGUGUAGGCUUAACAUUUCUUUUAGCCAUGCUUAAACUUAAUCUUCACACAUAGCACACUAAUUAACCACAAUUAGGAAAUUUUCCUAAAUCUCAAUGCCUAUCUUCAUCUUGCAUUAUAACAUCAAAACGCCUACUUUCUCUUGAAUUCAACUUCAAAAUCAUUCCCAUUUCAGACUUGAGUCUCACAACUCUCCACUUCUUUAAGAAUUUCGUCCUCAAAACUCUAUCUCCACAAUCAUCUUUCUUUAUCUAACAUAAGACCUCCUCACACAGGUUUAUGAAUAGAGUGAGAAGCCACUCCCAAAUGUGUUUGCUCCUCGUCUAAUCUUAGUUUUCUCUUUGCGCUCCUUUUGAUAAUGUCAAACUUUUCCACACUUAAAAUAUUGCCUACAAGUCCUGGUGUGUCUUUUGCUUUAUUUCGUUCAUUUUGAUUUUCGAUUAUCAUUCCAACAUGGUCUUUGGAUAAAACUGGUCUUAGCGCACUUACUAUACCCUUCAAUACUUUUCCUUUCUUUUUUUUCCCACUAAGCAUAGAAUUUGAUCUUUUUCCUCCUAGACUCUUCUCAAUCAGAGAGUUUCAUCCACCAACUCCUCAUAACCAUUGUGCAUAGCUAUGACUGUGACCAGUGUUCUUGUUUUAGGUAUGUAUCCAGUUUCAAAUUGUCUACAUCCACCAACAACAUCGCAUACUUGGAUAAUUCUUUAAACUUCUUCUCGUACUCUAUGACUGUGAGUUCACUUUGUUCUAAAUUUUGAAAUUCAUCUCGCCUUUCUUUUUUGUAGGUCUUUAAGAAAUACUUUCCGUUGAAAAUUUCUUUGAAUUCUUCCAAGCUAACACUUCCUCGCAUAUUCUCUUCUAACAUCCACCAGUCUUUAGGUCCUUCUUGGAGUAAGAACACUUCUGAAUCUACCGUUCUUUCUUUUGAAGACUACUAAAUCUACUUUUUCUUUCUCCUCUAACAUCCACUAGUCUUCUGCUUGAUGUAUAAAAUUAGAUUCGAACUCAGUGGAUAGUGUUCUAUGUGCUUAUAUCUAAGUUUAUGUGGCAAUGCAUGGUCAUUGCAUGCAAGAUGCUCACUAUGUCUCAUCCUCACGCAAUUACUAAGUCCUCAUUGAGUACAAGUUUACCUAUUGCUUAUGUAUCACUGAAAUAGUUCUUCUAUUAACACUUGAUCUACAAUAAAGAUAAUCAGUAACGGUCCAACAAUAAGUGUCUUUAUCAAAGACAAUGUCUUGUUUAACAUAAUUAAUUUGUGUAUAUACUAAUCAUAAGAACAGAAAUCAUGAGAUAAAAUCAUAAACAAUAAACAAAUAAUCUCAAAGUGUCAAAUAACACAAUCUUAAUUUCAGUAAUGAUAUUUAUUAAUAUCCAUAUCUUUAACAUGAACAUUGAAUGCCUUUGGUGGUAAUCCUUGAGUUAGUAGAUCUACAAUCAUAAGUUUAGUGCUAAUGUGAUUGACACUUUUUGUUUCUAAACUUCUUCUUUAACAACAAAGUAUUUUAAUUCCAUAAGUUUAGUACCUUUGGAAUACUUGUUUUUUUAAAGAAGAAAACUACUACAGAAUUAUCAUAAUAAAUAAACUACCACAAAAUUAUCAUAAUAAAUGCUCAAUGACUUGGCAAUACUGUCGACAAUUCCAAGUCUUGAAAUAAGUUUUGCAACCAUAAAACAUAAAUUAUAGCCUCAAAGGAUGCUACAAAUUCAACCUCCACAGUGGAUGCAGCAACAAUACACUGAUUCUCGCAUUUUCAUGAGGUUGCUCCUUUAGCUAAUAGGAACAAAUAGCCAAAAGUAAAUUUUCGUGUAUCUACACGUUCGGUAAAUUUGAAUAUGAAUAUCCAAUCACCUCAAGAUGAUUAGAUCUCUUGUAAGUAAGCAUAUAGAACAAGGAUUAUAAUUAAACUUACUCCAAUUGAUCCUUAGGUAUAUACAUUAAUCAACGAUGUUUUCUUUAAAGCCAAAAGAUGUGAUGGUAUCAUUGCACUUAAGAUACCAUUGUCUAGAAGCUUGUUUAAGUCCAUAUAUUAACCUCUUUAAUUUACACAUCAUAUAUUCCUUUCCUUCAAACAUAAAACCUUCUAGUUGAUCCAUGGACGUUUCUUCAUCUAAAAUUCCAUUUAGAAAGGCAGUUUUCAUAUUCAUUUGAUGAAACCCUAAAUUAUUAUGAGCUACUAAAGUCAUAAUAAUUACUAAUGAGUCCUUUUUUCAAGAUAUGAGAAAAGGUCUCUUUGUUGUCAAUGUGAUAUUUCGAGUAUAACCUUUGGCAACAAACCUAUCCUUGUGUUGUUCGAUAUUGCCAUUUGAGUUAAGUUUGGUCUUAAAGACCUAUUUACACCUAACUCUUUUACUUUCCUUAGGCAAUUCUACCAAAUCCAAGACUUCAUUAUCAUUCAUAGAUUUGAACUCUUCUUUCAUGACAUCUAACCAUUUGGAAGAAUAAUUACCUUCUUUAUUGGCUUGUGAAAACGAAAUCGGAUCAUUAUCAACACUUAAAUCAAAUUCUGACUCAUGCAAAUAAACCGCAGUCAUAAAAAAUAUGUGAUCUUCUUGGUCUUACAGAUCUUCUUAACUCUAUUUCUUGUGGUCCCUCAUUUAUAGGUUCAUUUGUUAUAACAUCAUUAUGUGGUGUUUGACCAUUAAUUUGUUCUUCUUAUGGAUUGUUAACGGAGCCUACAACUACAAGACACAACAACUUUGAGAAGAAGUUAUAGAUGAAAGAAUUUUCACCCUAACUUCUUGAAUUUUCACUUUACGUGGUUUCAAACUCCCACUAAUUACGCCAUUCUUAAUUAACCUUACAUUUCCAGUUUCAACCAUUCACAUACUAUGGUUAGGACAAUAAAAUCUAUACCCUUUUGAUUUUUCUGGAUAACCAAUGAAGAAACCACUGGUUGUUCUUGAAUCUAGUUUCCUUUCGUGUGGAUUAUAAAUUCUUACUUUUGCUUGACAACCCCAAACAUGCAGUUGUCUUAAACUAGGUUUCCUCAGUAUCUAUACUUCAAAAGAUGUCUUUAGAACUGACUUAUUAGGAACUCAGUUUAAUAAAUAUUGAGCAGUUCUUAAUGCAUACAUCCACAAGAACACAUGUAAAAACAAAUUAAUUAACAUGCUUCUAACAAUAUUCAUUAAUGUACGAUUAUGCCUUUCUACAACACCAUUUUGUUGUGGUGUUUUUGAUAUUGUGUAUUGAGCACAUAUACCAUGACUUUCUAGGAAUUUAGCAAAUGAGUCAAAACAAUGUGCUUUCUCAUCAUAUUUUACAUACACUUUAUAAAAUCCUUAGCAUUUUCAAUUUUAUAAUUGUGGACUUGAUGUUAUUUACUAUAGUUAUUCACAUAAACAUCAGAUUUGACAUCUUCUUAGCCAGACCUUACUUAUCGCCUAAUCCCAUACCACAAAUAACUUAACACUUCUCGCGAAUAACCUUAUCGCAUGGUUAUAUUUUUACAAGAAAUCUUCCUUGAGAACUAACAAACUUUUACUCGCUUAGAACACUUAUCAUGAACUUAAACUUCAAGGCUUCCUCGCAAAGUUCUUCAUUGUGAAGACUACCCAAACACCUAGUGUUUUAAUAAAAAAACUUACGCGGACUUUCUUUUGAAGUCGUUUAGACAUAGAUUCUAUUGCAAGCCCUUCUUUUUUCAAAACUUCCUCACGAAUUAACUUCUUGAUCGCAAAAUUAUACUAACCAUAAAGAUUUUAUGGCUUAAUCCUUUCCGCGGAUUUAUUCAAACUCCAAUUUCUAUAGUACUUAUAACCAAAAUUUUACUUCAUAUACUCAAUUUAAAAAUGAGUCUCAUAAUUUGAUACAAACACAGUGAUCCAAUGCGUUCGUGUAAUUGACAUGCGAGUGAAGGUUUCUAUAAGUUUAGCCAAUACACGAACGCAUUGGAUCAUUAAUUAAUAUGGUUAAUGAGUUUAGUAUAUAUUCGUUGACACAUAGUUAUAUACACAGUGAGAAGAGUUCAACUGUGAGUCUUUAGUGGAGUGUAUACACAAUUAACGAAUAUUGAUUAAUGUGGUUAAUGAGUUUAGACAAUUAAUCUCAUAUUGUUGUAGCUUUUGAUCUAUAGUCCAUUAGGCCCCCUUUCUAGUUCGUAAAGAGUAAUGAGAUUUAUUUAUAUUGGUUGUAAUUUAAAGUGUUCAAAUUACUUUGGGAUUUAGUAUAAUGUAUAGUGAUAUAUUAUAAUAUAAAGUUUAUCAAACUUUAUUAUAUAAAUUUAAUUUUGGAUAUGAUUCAAAAUUAAUUUAUGAGAGAUAAAAUAUUUAAAUGAGUUCAAAUAUUAAUUUAAUGUGAAUUGAAUUCAUGUUAAAAUUAUUAGUUAUGAGAGAAAAUUAUAUUUGAGUAUGAUUCAAAUUUAACUUAAGUUAAAUAUAAGAUAUUUAAUUUAGUUAUUAAUUAAUUAAUAGCUUAGUUUAAUAUUAUUUAAUUAAAUUUGAUUGAAUUAAAUUAAUAUAAAACUAUAAGAUAUUUGAGAGAUAUUUAUUAAAUAAGAUUUAAAUGAAAUAUUAAUUAAAUAUGAUUUAAUUAAUUAUUAACUAAUUGAUUAAUUGUUAAUUAAUUAGUUGGUUUGAAAUUUCUAUUUAUUUAAUAUUUUUUAAAUUAAUAGAAUCUCAUGGUUAUCUCCUACUCCAAGACGGAAAGAGAGUUAUAAAUAUUUAGAAGAAAACAUAUUUUUUUUAACGAUUCAAUCAACCAAAAAAUAAGAACUUAUAAUUUUGCCUUUCAAAAGAGUUUCUCUAAAAAAAAUCUUUAAACUUUUUCCCAUCUCAAUUGUUUCCCACAAACCAAUCUUAUUCCAGAAGAUAGGAAGGUCUCCGACGCGUGGUGUCUCCAAUUCGAUAGAUUGUAAAUUCAGAGACAUCAACAAGAGUAGAUUCUCUCUAUCUUUUAAUUUAAAAGCAUGCUUAGUUUUUUAUUUAGAAUUUUGAUUCUAAAUAUUUUCAAUCUACUGGUAUUUUAGGAUUCCCAAAUUAAAUUGAGGAAUGGUUCUAUAAAAAAUCUUUUGCUGGCAUGGACUCUUAUCCUUCCAUUAACGCAUAGAAAAUAAUGAAAACAUUUCUUUUAUUAACUUUCAACUAACGUUUGACAACAAUUAUAAGGUACAUAACAAUGCUACACUUAAUUUAAACGUCUAGCAGCAACUCCUUGCCUAGCUAGCCUCUUAAUCUCUUCUUACUUGACCUUUAACGCUUGAAACCUUGAAGGUGAAAAUUUAAAAACAUAAGUCAAAAGAGUUAGUAAGAUUUUAAAAGAAAUCCUUUGGAGAUACGUUUCAUGAGAUAAACACAUUCGGUUCAAAUAGGCUUUUCAUAUCAUUCAUAAUAUAUCAUUUCACAUGACACUCAUUAGUAACACAGUCCUUUCAUUGAGAAAUCCGAAACCAUCCCCUACUCUAAGACUCAUCAUCUUGCAUUUAAACUUUUGUGAAAAACAUCCGAGAGUAUCCUAGUUUUUUCUAGUUACUCAAGGCGAAGCGCAAUACACAUCUUUUAUGUAUUGUCUUGCCUUAACACCAUGCAUACCUUUUUCUACAUGAUUGUCUUUACUCUUUAUGUGCACAUAAUGGUUAGCUCAUUGAUAGGAUUCAGAUUAAUGCUUUGAACACAAUUUCAUAAUCAUUUGAAACAGAAAAAUACACUUCAAACAUAGUAUAAGUUUGAAUUCAAAAUCUCUUUAAAAAAUAUUCUUAUCAUUUCAUAUCAGUACGAUCUUAAAAGAAAGCUUUUAACAUUUAAAAACAUUUAAUAUAGAAAAACACUCAUAAACUUGGUUGCUUUGGAAACAAAUGGCUUUUGUACUUCCUCUUCUCAUAUAGUCCUUUUAGCACAACAACUUAACACUCACCUUUCUCUUCAGUCUUCCCGAGUAACACUCCCUCACAUUCUGAUUCCUUCCACUAUUUAUAUUAGUCCUUAAAUGGGUUAGUCACCCUUAAACUCUCAAUAACUUGUCGGUUCCUAUUCUUAGUGGUGCACGUGUAAGCACAAUGUUUAACUUAAUUAUCAUGCUUAGCUUAAACUCCUACAUGUGGCCCAUCAAGUAUCCUUAGGAAAUUUUCCAAAGUUUCCUUACUUUCUCUUCAUCUCGCAAUGAACUCCAAACAGCUAACUAGUCUUAAAGGCCAAAAGUCUUAUCGCGUUGUCCUGCUCCUUCACCCAACAUCAACUUUUCAUCAUAACCUUCCAUUCAAAACGCCUAUUCUUAAACACAUAGUCAAAUUUUAGCCUUUCAUAGGUACGGGUCGCACAAAUUCAUAGGAAAUGUGCUCGAGUGGAAGAAGAUAAACUUGAUGAGGUUUACCAUAAUGUGGAAGAAGUGACUCCUAUAACAAAAUCCUAGAGCCAGAUUGGUUGUGGUAGUUUGAUGAUGAUGAUGCCAGCGUUUGGCCUCAGAGACACAAACGAGGCUGUAGAGAACAUAACAAACAGGGCCGUUGGAUGUCAAUCCAUCUUCUUCAUAUAUGGAUGUCAGUCCAUCGCCUUCAUACAUGCAUGGACACAAAUGAGGUCAUGGAGAACAUAACGACUAUUUGUACUAUAAAGCACCUACAGAGGUAUCAAAAUUCACAAGAGAACCAAUAAGAACCAAAUAAUCAAAAGGAGUAAGAAUAACAUAGAGUUUAAAGUUGGCCAUGACAAACAACUCAAAAUCGACAACGUAUAAGUUGAAACACAUUAAUUUUCUUUUAAUUUUUAAAUGGAUGUAAAACAUUGAUACUAGUAUUUUAAUUUAUAUUUAAUUUUUUUCAUUUAUGAAUAAUUAAAAAAAAAGUUAAACAAUCAUGUUCUUUUUUUAAUUAUUAAAAAAUAUAAUUAUAAACUUUCAUUAAAUUUAAAAAAAUGGAAGAGAAUUGGGUAAAGAUUUAUUAAUUACAAAUUUUUAAAAAUAAGAAAAUUGAAAAACAUGGGUCAAGGUAAAAAAUAUGAUGUGUAGGUUGGGUUUUCAACCCAUCAUCUUUGUUGAAAAUUAAAAAAAGAUAAAUGGUGGGUAAGUUUAGUUAAGCCCAUAACAAAAAAAAAAAAAAAGUUGUGUAUAGGUGGUUGGGGUUAACCUACUUAACAACACUAGUACAAAUUUGGUUUUUAAUGAUACUUGAAAUAAAAAGAAAAUAGGUGGAAUUGAAUAAAAUGUAUCGUUAAAAAUAAAAAAUACAGAUUUUUUCUUGACACACAUUUUUGCGUUGUUAACUAAUGACAUAAUUUUUGUGUCAUUAAAAAAAAUUUCCUUAAUAAAAAGUGCACCUAUUUCCAAUAUUAUUGAAUUCCCCUUUUGUAGGUUCUCCCUCUCUCGCAAAAAUCCUAGCACAUGGUCAGCUGCGGUAAAUCUGGAACUCACGAAAACGCUUUCCUUGCGUCCAUCGUGGUCUAGUUUGUCGGUCAGUGUAAUUCUUCAAAAGAAAUCCUUCACAGUAAGACGGUAACUUUGAAAUGUAUGAUAGAAAAGAGAGUGUAUAAGUCACGAGUUGAACACAUGAAUAAAAAAGAGAGUGUAUAAUCAUGGGUUGCACAAAUCUUUAAAUAUUAUGUAAAUUAGCUGCCCCAAUAUAAUUUUUUUUAAAGAAAAAACAGCAUAUUCAUCCAAAUUUUCGUUAAUAAAAUGUCACAUCAUCAAUAAAUUUAUUUAUCAAGGGUAAACAUACAAGAGAGCAAUUUAAACAUAGUUUUUAAACCUCAAAUGACUCACUUUUAAGAACUCAAGGACAAAACAGACACACUCAAUAUAGACCAAGGGAGUGCAUAUUGUCCUCCUUGAUUUUAUUCACACCUUUUCUACUUUUGUUCCCCUCAUAAGACCUGAUGAUGCAGACCAUGAUGCUGUGGUUAGUAGACAAGAGUUUCUCAUGGGCUUAACAGUGUCCAUGUCUUGGUAGAUUGUACAUCUAGCACUUCAGCUUUACGUUUUUCUAGGGUAAGUUGAGUAGAUGUUCUUACUUGCUCUUCAUAUGUUAGAUUGAUUUUUCUUCCUUGAUCCGUAAUAGAAACGUCAUGUUCAAUGACAUUAAAAUACGUAUGUAUUUGGUCAGGUGGCGUUUUUAUAUUUGCAAAUGCAAACCUUCCCGCUGUCUCUAACGUAAAUGUGUCAAUAAAAGUGUCGUCGGUUGGGUUACUCAUCGUAACUAUAUCUUAUUGAUAUUUUGAAGCUGAUAAAAAUUUUAUAACUCUGCCUUAUGCUCUCCAC
rnacentral:lncRNA from 1 species